rnacentral:lncRNA from 1 species
UUUAGGAUUUGAUUAAGGUUUGAUUAGGAUUUAGGAUUGGACUAGGAUUUAGGAUUUGCUUAGAAUUUAGUUAAGAUUAAGAUUUAGGAUUGAAGUAAGAUUUUGGAUUUACUUAGAAUUUAUUUAAGUUUUGAUUAGGAUUUAGGGUUGGACUAGAGUUUAGGAUUUGGUUAAGGAUUUGUUUAAAAUUUAGGAUUUAGGAUUUUCUUAGGAUUUAGGAUUUAGGAUUUAGGAUUUGUUUAAGAUUUAGGAUUUUUGGUUUGGCCUAGGAUUUGAUUGAAGUCCAUUAGAAUUUUAAUUAAGAUUAAAUUAGGACUUGAUUGAGAUUUAUUUUAAGAUAUAUUUAUGAUUAUUCUAAAUUUUUUUAGGAUUUUUUAGAAAUUCUUUUAAAUUUUAUUGUGGAUUUCUUUUGAAUUAUUUUAAGAUUUUUAAUUAUUUCUUUUGUAAUUUCUUUAAGGUUUCUUUGAAUUUGAUUAAAACUUAUUUAGCAUUAUUAAAAUUUAAUUAGAGUUUAUUUAAUAUUAUAUUAGAAUUAAGAUUUUAUUGUUAUAAUUUCUAUUCUACCUUCCAUAAGCACGUGUCCAAUGUAUUCUCAAGCAAGACUUCAUGUAAUACAACAACAGAUACAAUAUCAGCAAAUAUAUAUUGGAGUGAGCAAAAAAUCUUUCAAAUAUAAUAAAGAAGGUCAAAGUUUUCAAUUAAUGACAUCCAUCAAAACCAAGAUGAAGGAUAGCAAACCUUUGCUAUAAAAGAAACAUAAUGUAAGAAAGAUUGCAUUCUAGCUUCUAUCUUUAUUUGUAGUUUCUAUAUAAUUGUAGCUUUAAAGAGAUGGAAAAUAACAACCAACAAAUUCAACCCUAGAGCCAUCAUUUGUUGAUUUAUUAAACAAGAUAUUACAAUUAUCGCAACCUUCAAGAUAAAGUAAUAAGAAUGAAGACCUUCAAGAGUGACAUGUUCUUCUUCAAAUAGAUGGUGAGAUAGAAUGCGUUUGGUAUCACAACCUGAGAGGAAAGUCUCAAUGUUUGGUGAUUAUAUUGGAGGUAGAAACGAUUCUUAAUGGUGUUACAAAUAUUUUGUUUGAAAGAAGUUACAAAGGUCUCAACAAUGAUCAAAUAAAAAGGUGGUCUUUUUGUCUAGAAUGGGACAUUAUUGAUGGCUAAGAAGAUCUAUCAACUACCUUCAAAGGAAACAAAAAUCAAAGUACAUAGCAAAUAUAAUUUGUCGUAUUUUAGACUUCUUCAAGAUGUAAUCACCAUUCCUUCUGAAACUCAUUCCUAGGAGGAAUAAUGUCAUAGACAUAUAUCUAUUGUAAUUGUUAUUGACGUAAUAUGAAUAGAGAGAAAUAAAUAAAAAUAAAUUAAUUUUAUAAUAUCUUCUAGAAAAGCUUCUUAGAAGCUUUAUAGAUGCUACUUUGACUUUACAUGUAUUUAUAUUUAAUUGAUAGAUAGAAACUUCGUCAACAAGUUAAUUAUAUGAGACAUAUAUUAGUAGCUUGUGAAACAAGCUUAUUAUGUAGCAUCUAUUUAGAAAACUUGUUUUGCAAGUCAAGAUAUGUAUGGUGUAAAGUCAACAAAUUUUAGAGAUUCUAUAGAACGUUGCCACAUAGCUUCUAAGUACAUAGUACAUAUAUAUAUACUCUUAUCAAUUUUUUUCUUACUUCUAAUCUAAUUUCAAGAAGUCUCUAGUUUUCUUGUCUUUUGGCAAUAGCUAUUUUAUUUUCUUUUUAACAUAUGUAUAUAUAUAUAGAUAUAUAUAUAUAGAUAUAUAUAUAUAUAUAUCUUUAGUUCUAUUUUUUUAUAUUUCUUUGAAAAAGUCUCAUUUGUUUAUUUGUUUUCAUCGAGUUCUUGUCCUAGACAUAAAUUAUUCAUACAAGUUAUAAAAAAAGGUGACUCAUUGUACUUAGAGGCAAAGGUUGAAUUGUACACACUUUGCUUCUAUAACUUCAACCCUUAGCUGCCUUCUUCCCACUAUCUAGACCUUCAAGUCCAUCUUUCAAUUUCACCUAUUGGAUGGUAGAAUAGAAGUUAAUAUGGGAGAUAAAGGUUGAGAAUAGAAAGAAUUGUGGGAAUAAGGACAAAGGAACAAUAAUGGUUUGGAUAGUUUAUAUUUCUUUAACAUUCUCACAUAUAUAUAUAUAUAUAUAUAUAUAUCUAUAUAUAAAAUUAUAUAAAAAAAUAAUUUAAUUUUAAUUUAAAAAAUAAUUAAUAAGAAUAUUUUUUAUUGACAUCUUAGUAUGUAUAUAUGAAUAUAUUCUUGUUUCUAAAAGAAAUAUAUAUAUAUAUAUAUAUAUAUAUAUAAAGUUAUGUAUAUAUUUAUUUUAAUUAUAUUAUUAUUUUAAUAUUAAAAAACGGUAGAAAUGGUGACAUUAGCAAUGCCCUAUGUACAUAAACAAUUCUACAGACAUCAUAGUUAGAAAAAGCUCAAUUCUUAUUCAAAUUUAAAUUUACCUUACUUGUUAGAAUGCAAAAAUUUAAUAAUCCAUAGUACAAUAAAUUCUAUUAAAAAAGGUGGCCACUUUCAAUUCUCCCUCCUUCCCUCCCUCCAUUUAGGCUGCCUAUCACCAAGAUUUAUCUCAAUAAUAGGGUGUGAAAUAUUUCCUUGGAGAAAGGCAAAUGGGGGGAAGGGGUUCAAGUUUCCCCAUUCAUUCAUUCAUUCGUUGGGGUUGGGGCCCAGCUUAUCCACAUUCGGGGCUGCAGCGUAGCCUUUCCACCCUUGCGCUCUUCGUCGCCCAUUGGCCGCCAGCAUCUCCACGCCCCCGCGCAACCCCGCGUCGGAUUUUUUCACUUGGGUCCUCGUCCUGCUUCGCAAUCUCAUCACCCAUCUCUCCCUUCAUCCUACAUCCUGGUGGAUUUUCCUGUAUUUUGCGUUUUGAGGUGAAUCGCAGUUUUUGGUAAUGGCAAUGGCGCUCGCUGUGGCAACCGGCAUGUCCUCCGUCGUUGGCAAGAGAGUGAUGGGCACCAGCCUUGUCGCUGGAGUCCAUCACUCGUCGGUGCCCCAAAGUGCCACUUCACUCGCUGCGGCCAAAGGGCGGAAGAAUUUGGUGUGCGUGGCAUCGAUGCGAGAGGAGGAAGUGGAGAAGACGAAGGAUUGGGUGAGGAGUGGAGCCGUCGCGCUUGGUGCUGCAGCGAUGGUGCUGCUGUCGAAUGGAGCCACCGGUUUGGCUAUGGCGGACGAGGGUGACGCUCCGUUCCAGACGUACUAUGGCACUGCGGCUAGUGCUUCCAGCUACGGUGGAUACGGUGGCAAUGCCAACAAGAAGGAUAGCGCCGAGUACAUUUUCGAUGUCCCUCAGGUAACCCUCUUGCCGUCCUGAUCUGUAUCUGAGUUUGGAUUUCGCAUUGGAGACGAGCAAAGUUGUCAGAGCGAGUUUUUCUUUAAUGAUGCAGUUUUGUAUCAACACCUCGUUGUCUUCGAUUAGGUUUGGAAUUAUGGAUGGAAGCAGUGAGGCCAAGUAUUUAUUUUGCAUCAUCACUCGCAGCACCGACAGUUUAUCAAUUGCCGGAUGUCACACAUGGGUCUUCAUGCGAGCGAUAUACGAUUGUGAUUGACGUCCUAGAAUGCCAAAGUGUGAUGUAGUAUCUAGAGAGCACGAACCGGUUUUGAAGUGAUAUCGUUGUAUGUAUAGUCGACUGUCAACUGGGCUGGGAGUAUUAGCAGUUCCGAAAACAACCGAACCUAGAUUAUACCUGUUUAAAAUAGUCUUUUCGUUUUGGGCAUGGUAAGAGGAGAAGAGUUUGAUCUUAUGCAUCCAAGUCUCUUAAGCGACCUUGAAGAUACCCAUGUAUCGCAAGGCAUGGACAAACAGACUGGAAACCUUACCAGUUGGUCAGACAAUGUGUUUCCACAGCAUUGCGUUCCUGUGGCUGCAUGUCAAGGUAUUCCAAAUACUAACGUCGGCAGCGAUAUCGGAUUAGAAAGUUGCCCAAUACGUCAAAAUGGUUUACCCUCUUUUCGGCUUGGUCCUGCAUCGGACGCAGCCUGGUCUUUUAAGUGCAAAUUCGAGAACCAUGACUAUAAGUCUGCAUCUGUCUACUCCAAUGUAUUUAGUUAACCUGUGGCUCUCUGGUGGUAAAAACUACAAUGAGAUUUCAUGUACAUUCCCAGAUUUUAUGAGGCAAAAGUGUACAUACCCUCACAAUCACAGCCUUCGGGGCUUAAGCGUCAUGCUCUGAUUCUAUGAGCGCAAUACAGUGAGUUCUCAUUGGGAUUUCAUUCAAGAUCAUUGACAACGAGGAGCCUGAUGAGAUCGGCGUGGUGAUGAUUUUUAUUUUAUUUUCCAGGGCUGGAAGGAGCGCCAGAUUUCGAAAGUAGAGAAAGGCACAAAUGGAACGGACGCAGAGUUCUACAACCCCAGGAGAAAAGACGAGAAGGUGUACCUGACCUAUCUCUCUGGAUUCAGGAAGUUGGGACCUCGAGACAACGUGCUCAACAACCUGGCUUUGUCGGAUGUGAACUUGCAGGAUAUUCUCGGAUCAGCAGAGGAGGUCAAAUCCGAUGACCUAGUUCAGAAUGGACAGCUCUACUACGUGUUUGAGAUUGACAGCCCCGUCGCUCAUGAACUGAUCAAGGUCACCUGUGCAAAGAACAAGCUGUACACGCAAUUCGUGAAAGCACCCGUAUCCGACUGGGCUCGGGACAACGUCAUGCUCAGGAAAGUGCAUGAUUCUUUCACGACCAUUGGCGAUGCUUCCCCUGUACAGUAGACCUAACCUGGUGUCUGCACUGUGGGGAUGGAGCUGUAUUUCUAAUGUAUUCAGUACCGCCCGGGCACGAGUUCAGAGCACGCGGAGCCUAUUUGAGCCUUUUAGUUGGAGAGUAGAGAGGAGCGGGGAGCUGUAUAGGGAGAUGAAGACACUCUAAUAGUCUCUCAAGAUCAAUAUUGAUAUGUAGCAUCAUUGUUGUUACCUUGUAAGUACAGAAAGCAGAAGCAUUAUGCCGGCUCGUGUUCUUCAAAGCUCUUCAACGUAUCCUAGAGAAUCCUGCCUGCUAAGUAUGCUUUGGCUGAUAUCGCGUGGCUGAUACCGCCUCUGCAAUGCUCUGCACUUUAGGACCAUCACCUGGUGUCACAAGUAAGUGGCGAUUGUUUCAGGAAAGUCAAUGAUGGCCUGUUAUUCUACCAAUCCUCUGUUUUUUCUGUGGUUAUGACGUAGUUCGAGGCAUGUAUAGCCUAGUUGAGGUGACGAGGCCAGCGUAAACAGUGCUGUUCAUGGGUAAUCUGGCCUAGACAGCACUUGAGCCAGAGCUUAAAUCAGCAUCCUCACAGCCUUCCCCUGAACGGCUGCUUGAUUUACAACCUUAGAAUUCAAGUACCGGAGUUGUUUGGAUACAUAUGUUCUCUUGGAUAUGACGACAGCAGUGCUUGUGGGAAAGAAGAGACCAGGCAAUGAGAACAUUGAACUAUAUGCUUUUGCUUCUUCUGCUGGUUGUGAGGGUACGUGACUGCCAGUUUUAGGUGCCAAAAGUCAUAUUUGUUUAGUAAUUUUAGUUACACAACUUCCACUAAGUAUUUGAGAUCAAAUCACUUGCUGAUGAUAAAAGAAAAACUAGGUAACCGAUUGAAACUAAAUCUCCCAUUCAAUUGUUAGAUGAGAACUACUGUGUGCGAAGAUAAUGCGUGAUCUAAUCUUUGACAAAGGAUAUGGUUGUCAACUAAGAUGGCCACAAAGCAAGACAAUCUUUAAUUGAAACAUGCAUGCAAAAUCUUGGAGCAAGAAGACGUGUAUACAAGUACAUGUAAAAAAAUACAUUAAAAACUGAAUUGAUAUGGGUUUUAGAAGGUCACAUAUGAUCAUUAGCUCUAAAAUACACUAGGCAUCUUUGCAUUGGACUAAUAUUGGAGUCCCUGUAUUGUAAUACUAUUAUCAUGCAAUCCCCAAAACUCCUUGCGAUUAUAGCCACCAUGUAAUUAGCACACACCCUUGUCCAAACUAUCCAAAUUGAGGUUCAAAUCUAAAAAACACCAUAACUAAUUCCAACAACCUACUUUCUUGAAACAAAUUAGUGGAGCUUAAACUUCAUAUGAUUUUCUACUCUCAAAAAAGAAAAAAAUGAUAAAAAUACCACAGUUUGAUAUUUCAUGUAGAAUGAUUGAAACAACCAAAAGCCAUUUUAGCUUGUAAAGAGCUUUUGAGGUUAAAUAAAUUAGUAAAGAAAAUAAAGAUAUUUAUAAGUAGCCAAUGCACAAACAAAUAAUGAUAGAAUCUAUGAGCUUGUGUAAUAGAAUAUCCAAGAUGAAUUAUUAUAAAUACAAGUCUUAAGAGAUGUAAUUGCAUGUAAAUACUUUGAACAUAAAUUAUAUUUUUUAAAACUUAGAGUCAUUUUCUUCUCUCUCUAUACACAUAAAUACAUUAUAUACAUGCAUAUAUUAUCUUUAAAUUCAUUGAUAUAUUUUAAUAGGUAAAAAUAUCAUAGUUUGUAAUGGUUAAUUAGAUAAAUUUUGUACCAUAUAAAUUUUUCUUUGAUUUUUAAAGUUUUUAUAUGUAUGUUAGAUUAAAAAUAGUAUAUAUUUUUUAGAUUUAAAAUAAUACAAUUUCAUCAACAUUUAUAGAUUGGUGUUGAUUUAGUAAAUAUAAUUUAACUGAUGUAAUGUUAUAAAGUUUUUAUAAAAAAUUCAAUAAAAAAGAUUACAAUUGUUAAUGUGUAGUUUUAAUUUGACUCAUGGAAUAUAUAUAUAUAUAUAUAUAUAUAUAUUUAUUUAUUUAUUUAUUUAUAUGAAUUUAAAGAUUUGAUUAUAGAAGUUAUCUUUUAACAACUAAAUUAUUUUAAUAAAAUUUUAAUUAUCUUAGUUAUAAUUUUUGUAACUACUACAUAUAAAUCUAUUUUAAUUUUUAAAUUAAAAGAAAAGUAAUUAUAAAGUUUUUAUAUUUUCGAUAUAUUUAACAAUUUUUCAAAUCAAUAUUAAAAAUUAGUAUACUAUUUUGAAACUAUAUCUGAAUAUUAAUAUUUUUAACUUGUAACAUUUAGACUUCAAUUCUUUCACAUGUAAAUAUACUUUUGUAUAAUUCAAAACUUACAAUUUAUAAAGCUACAAAGAGUAUUAUAAAUCAUCAAUAAAUUUUACAAAUACUUUUUUGAUCAAUUUAUCUAUUAUAUAUAUACAUGAUCCAAAAUACAUUGAUUAAAUAUUAUAAAAUUAUUUUUCUGUUAUAUAUAUAUAUAUAUAUAUAUAUAUAUAUAUAUAAGUUUUUAUUAUUGUUGUAAAAAUCUUAGUAUGUAUUUUGGAUUUAUGUGGAUUUGAUGUUUUUAUAACAUGUUACCAAAUCUUAGCAAGUGAGUGUUUUAAGUUGCAAAGAGAAGAAAUUGAGAAAAUAAACUUAGUCAGUUGAAAAUUUAAUGAUGUGCUUCAUACCAGUGGUAUCUAGCAUCUUUACUUUAUACAAAUAAAAACAAUUAUAUACAUGUUUUAACGAUAAGAAAAAGUCUUAAGUUAAUGUUGAAUCCAUGUGGUUGGUGCAAACUCUAAGAGUUAGUUAUCAUGUUGCAUUACUGCCUACCACCACACACUAUAGGUUAUCAUUAUGCACCAUUUAAACACAACUCUAGCCUUCUUCUUUGCCAUGCCUACCAUCUCUUACACCAAUCCCAUCUUCUGCAUCAACAGCAAAGUAAGUUUUCAUAAAUAAUUUUAUUUAAACUAUAACUUGUUUUUUUUAAUCAAUAAAUUACUUAGAAAAAUAUUAUAUUGAAUAAAUUCAUCAUUUAGAAUAAUACAUGAUUUUUAGAUUUGUUAUCAAGUUUUACACACUGCAAAAAAAAUCAAUGAAUCUUCAAAAAAUGGAACUUAAAAAAUGCGUAACAUAUCAUUUCCAAUACCAUCAAUGCAUUUGAUAUGAUUUUUAUGUUUUAGGGAAUGACGUCUUCGUUUGAAGCAGUGAAUUAAUUCAACAUUUCACUACCAACCAAUCAAAAUUAAAAUAUCCAACAAAUAAAUAAGUACAACGUGUCAUGCUGACAUUUUCAUUUUCUAACAUGGUAGCAGCAGGUAAACAGAUAUCGAAGAUAUACCAAUCUGAUCAGUCGUUUCGGCGAAUCUUACGGAACUUAAUUUUGGAGACGUUUGCGGAAUAAGACUUGUCUGCUCACACAUUACAAAUUGCACUAAUGCAUCUCUGGCACUACGAGUUUCAAGUGUACGACGUGGAAUCCUCGUCUAUGGGUGACAGAUACAUGAGACCUAUUCUACAGUAGAACCUGUCUAAUUGCAUAGAGCUGGGACACGGAGGCGGUUCUGCAUUUAAUCAGGUAAUGCAUUAACAACACAGGUUAUGCAUUAACUAUUAACUACAGGCCCGACAUCGGCCCGGCGGAUUCUCAUGCAUUCAGAGAGGUGAUGCAUUUACACAGUAUGAAAUUGAACAGUUUCUACUGUAUAAGCAGUUAAGACGUCUGUUGAUAAAAAAUGAGAAAUAAAAAAACAAAACUUCGAAGGCAAUCGUACCUAAUUUACUGCAGUCGAAUCUGAUGCGAACGAAGCUUCAAAUCGAUUGCUAGUGAAGUGGACUGAACCUUGAUGAAGCGUCAAUUGUCAUGGAUUAACUGACAGCAAAUGAGAUACUCUAAUCGAUGUCGAUAACUGAAACUGAAAUAUAUUGGAGGUUUACGGAGGUGUAUCUUGCUUGAUAUUCACUAGCUACAGAAUAGUUAAGUGAGAUAAGCACCUUACAAACCUUCAAGUCUUGAGAAUUCUAGCAUCCGCCCUGCGUUAUCACCAGGGACGAAAGAAUGAGUAAACCCCCUGCAGAUGAUCUUUCUCGCUGGACUGUACCCACAACCGUCUUCUCACAAACGACCCCGGCAAAGAACUGGGAACCAUAGAUCACUACCCAAGUGAUCAGUCCCGCGACUCACUCAGGGAUGUGAAGCAUAUCUCAGUCAGACUCAGCGCUCCAGCGACACACCUUGGCCGUGACACCAGAAAACGACACCGGCUGUUUUGUCAGCGACGCUGACUCAAAACUUGACAGAGAAAGGCAAUCCACCCACUGUCACAAGAAAUGUGUUGUAAAGAAGACUUGACAGGGGGACCAGUUGUAUCGUGAGGUUCCACAAAACAUCUAUUCAGUGGAUGCUUUUCCGUUCGGACUGGUUGAGGAGAGGAAGUGAGAUAGCAACAGCCUACAUGGAUUUGUUCCAUGGAUUCGAUUCGAGUGUGUAUCUGCAACUUCCAGUUUGAGAAACUUUCGAUGGGAUUAGUACCUGGGUGUUUAUCGAUCACUUUUUACUUGGUUUGGAGAAAAGUCGCACAUGACGCUUAAGCAUCCAACAGUUUCAAUUUUAGUUUUAAAUUAAAAAAUAAUUGGUAAAAAACUAUUCUAAAACGCUCACAAGGACGAAAUUGGUGACUGACCAGCCACUGUCCAACACAGCAAUUGCAGCGUCUUCGACAGUUCAUUUCUCCAUCUUCGCAUGGGAGAACGACUUAUCCCUCGGAUCGUGAACCGGCUAUAGCCUGUCCGACCAUUUUCCCAACAAUAAUCCGAGGAUUAUGAUUCUUGCACACCUUGACCCUCACUCCAUCCCGGGGAAAACGAAAAUCUGCAGAGAAAAUGCCGUACCUACAGAAAACAUGGGCUUAUAUUAAACCAAACAAUACUGCACGCAGAUCGACAACAUCAAAAACACCGACGUGAUACAUGAUGGAUGAACUAUGAGUAAGCAUUUCCAAAGAUGAUGCACGCUUAGGUACAAUUCUUUUACAUGAGAUGAUAACUCACAUUUCAGUCCAAUAUUCAUCGAUCUUAAACUGUCAAUGUGCUUAAGCUUAAUCGGAAUUUUAAAUUUACUGCACGCUCCAUGGAAGCACGAGUGUUGUGAAUGGGAUUCACAGUGAAGAAGGUACCCAGUAUGACUUAAAAAUUAUUUGUAUUGAAGGAACUUUGCCUGCAUCUAUUACAUGUUUGUCAUGUAAAAUCAUCACAUGCUAGUCUCAUUAAACAUUGGAGUAUAAAUUCACCGAUUAACAGCGAAUGGUACAUGGUUCAUUUGAAUAUUGAUCCUGCUAUGUACAUAUCGUCCACCUGUUUGUCAUUCGUUUCUUUUUGAAAAGUUCUGCAUUUGGUAAUCUCUAUGAAGUAAGUUCAACUUUCACUGGAGCUACAACAACGCGAAGGUCGUGCUUUCACUGGGGCGACUCAUUCUCACCUGAAACUGCACAUGCCACAAACUAUGAGUAUCCAGUGUUUAACAACAGUGUUUACCACAUCCUAAUUUCCGACAAAUCCACACCAUACUUCAACAUAAGGAUGCAGAUGAUAGAAUUUCAUGAAUGGUAUCAACUUGCGCAAUCUCUUCUAUGCUUUGGAUAAACUUCAUAAAUACAGGUGUCAAGGUUCUAGCAUAUUUGUUUACAACAUGUGCUUCUGCGAUGUUUAAAUCUACCGAACCAGUAGCGACAAAAGGAAGGAAAAAAAUCUCACUCACCUGAUGAUGCUAAGCUGCAGAUAUUCACCCAUAAGCCUUUAAAAAGCAAUAUGGAUAUGGGAUGUGCCGGUUAUAACAUAGAUCUUCAUCUGUGUAAUCUCUAACAUUGAAUAACCUUAUAAGCUACAAACUCUGUCGUACUUCAACAGGGUACAUCAAAUCCAGGCAUUUCAAAUGCGGUAGCGAACUCCUCAACCUUGGCCCUCAGAGCCUGCACGUCAGAAUUGCUUCCCAGGUUGCGCUGCUGCUUCGGAUUCUCCUUGUGCAGAGCUGUUGUGAUUUGGACAGCCCGAUGAAGCAAAUCUGCGAUAAUAUCGAAAUCCCCUUCGUUACAUCCUCGUGAUGUCAUUGCUGGAGUUCCAAUCCGUACACCACCAGGCUGAAAUGAGCUGCUGUCACCAUAAACGGCACUCUUGUUCACCGUUAUGUGACACGCUUCACAAACUUCUUCGAACAGACUGCUCGGGAUGGCAAAUGGACGAAGGUCCCAUAGCAUCAGAUGAUUGUCUGUCCCGUCUGUUACCAGCUUACACCCUCGACGCUUUAACCCUUCAGCAAGUGACUGAGCAUUCUUAAUCACUUGUUGAAUAUACGCCUUGUAUUCUGCAGACGCAGCUUGCUUAAGAGCUGCAGCUAAGGCUGCUAUGUGAUUGUUGUGCGGGCCACCUUGUAACGUAGGGUGCACUGCAAUGUUGAUUUCCUUCUCAAAAUUAUACUGCCCAUCGGCUGGCCUGCUGGCUGACUUCAAUCCCUUCCGAAAAAAUAUCAUGCCACCGCGAGGUCCACGAAGUGACUUGUGCGUUGUAGUAGUGACCACGUCACAGUAGUCAAACGGGCUUAAACACUCUUGCGCUGCAACGAGACCGCUGAUGUGAGCCAUAUCACACAUAAGAACGGCACCGAUCUUGUCGGCAACCUGGCGAAAUCGGGAGUAAUUCCACUCCCUAGGAUAUGAGCUUCCUCCACAUAUAAGGAUUUUGGGACGAUAUAGUAGCGCAAUUUCCUCCACUUUAUCAUAGUCAAUAAGUCCUGUUUCGGGGUGAACCUUGAAUGGCAAAGUCUGGAAAUAUAUAGAGGCAGCAGGGAUUUUCUUGCCGCUCUGUGUGUGAUAACCAUGACUAACAUGGCCCCCGGAUAGGACAUCCAAACCCAUAAUUCGAUCAUUUGGCUGCAACAAUGCAGUGUAAACAGCAAAAUUGGCAGAAGAGCAUGAAUAUGGCUGGACAUUUACCCCCCAUCUCUCAUUGUCCAGAUGAAAAGCUGCAAGCGCCCUAGAAAUGCAAAGGGACUCAAUCUGAUCAAUGUAUUCAUUACCCUUGUAGUACCUGGAACCAGGGAGUCCCUCCGAAUACUUGUUUGUGAGGUGACUUCCGAGAGCUUCAAACACAGCCAGUGAAGUAAAAUUUUCAGAUGCAACCAGCUCUAUACCUUUCCAUUGCCGACUCUUCUCCUUCUCCAUAAUCUUCCACAGAUCUGGAUCAACCUCAGCAAGUGGUCUAUUUCCCCAAUCCCUCACUGCUCGUUUCCGAGAUUCAUUAUCAUGAGUCUGAUAACUGUUGUGGUUAACUACCACUCUUGGAGACAUGUUAGACGGAUAGUUCAAAACUGGCUUGGAAAUCCCGUUCUGAUGGUGAUCCGAUGAAACAACAGCCCGGAAAGCACCAUGAGACAUUUGAUGAACAACUGGUUGCGAUCCGCGAGACGAAUGAUGGUACGUAAGUUGAGAUUGCUGUCCACAAGAUGCAGAAUUAUUUCGCCCAGCCAUACUUGCAGGAAGUGUCGGAGUCCGAAAUUGACCACUGAGUAAAGCAGAGCUCUUCCUUUUCAGUCCUUGAGUGCUCCCAAGAGGAGAGAACCCACCUGACGCACCAGUCUUGUGCCGGAGAAGUUGUGCACUGUCCCUGGAGGUGAUUUGCAUGGCCGUCUCUACCUGCACAUGUAUCAUUCACCCAAACAAUCAGAGCAUGCUCUAUCCAAACCUGAGCGCUUUUUGCAACAUGUAUUUCACAAUCCUUGAAGGAGAAAGUGAAUUCAAAACCUAAACCACACGUCAUUCACAUUUAGCAGAACUCUUAAACGCAUCAUAAUCUCUGAAAAGACGGAAGAACAUUGCAAUGACAUGAUUUACCACAAUGGACGCUUACAAUGUGUUUCUAUGUUUUUACCAAAUCCCUGUAAUCGACUCUCGGACCCGCUGUAGGCUUGUCCGAGGGAAAGAAUUGAUAGCAAAGGACAAUCAAACAACGUGCUUCAGGCGACUUGGUGUGAAGGUCCGCGAUUAUUUCCACAUACUAUGGACUUAAUUCUUCUGCCAACUCAGUACUCCUCAUUUCUUCGAAUAAGACUGGACACAACUCAAAAUGACACAUGAACAAGGCCAUGUCCUUGCACAUGAAGAUAUGAAGUAAAGCAUUUCAAGAAGACUGUAAUCAUAUUUCAAGCGUUGUACUAUCAUUUCAUUCCAGACUACAACUUAACCUUAUACCAUAAUCAUGCACCAAGUUAGUUUUGUUUAAUUCUUUACAUAACUCUACCUGCAGGAAGAGACGGUCAUGCAAGAUGCUUCAAGAGAUGAUCUGCCACCUCUUGCACCCUCUUGCAUAACCAUCCCUCCCUGUUGACAAUCAUGUAAGGCAAUGACGCAUUAAACGAUGAGUCUGAUUCUAAGUAUCAGGUUCAAACCUGAAUAGCAUCACUCAAAGAACUUCCCCUCGACAGAGCUGGCAGAGUGCUGUGAACUUGGCCUCCAGCACUCAUCUGCUGUUGCACAGAUUGCUGCAUCAUUUGAACAAACCCCAAAGAUAAACUUGGCUUCAUCUCCACAUCAUCCAUAUUCGUUGAAGAGCGCGACAGUCCUAACAAGAGAACACAACUACAGUAUUCCUGCUACACAGUCUUUUCGAAAUAAUGAAAGACGUUUGACUAUGGAACAACUGUACUAAAUUGCUGGACAUAUCCUGGAGGUCAAGUGAGGAAGCAAUGCAGCAAGGAAAACGAACCUCUAGGGAAAGAAAUUUUUUAUUAAAAAAAAAUAACCAAAAUAAUGACAAAAAUACUCAAAUUAUCAAUGAAUAACAAAACUAUGGAAAGAGAAUUAAGAACAGAUCUUCACUAAAACUCCGAAAACGACCAAAACUCAAGACCCUCUAAAACAAACCCUACCUACCGUAAUUGCUUCAAAACACUAUCUCCUCUUCGCUGGUUAUUCGAGAAAUCUCUACAAAUAGACCAGCACACAACAAGCCCUCACUCACGCAAACUGAAUCAAAGAAAAGAUUAAAGAAGAAAUUAAAAAGAGCUCUCAAGAAACUCUAUCAGAAAUCGUUUACAUUCAGGUUUCAAGCUCAGUUGUGAUAAUUAGCAGACAAAAGGAGAGACUGAAGAGAUCAUGCAACUACAAUGGGACGAUGGAGAGUACCGAACUCGGGUUAUUUGAAGUUGCACCGACGACGCUGGCUGCGUGGACUCACGGAGCAUGGUGCGAGCUUCAUAACGCUUUUCGCUUUCAAAAGCAGGGUCCAGAAUCCCGGCCAAAUGCAUGAAUGUUCCCUAUCUUCCCUCCGCACUCCCAUGGCUGCGUUCCCCAUGCGUUCCCAUCGUUUAUCCCAUCCUUCGACAAGGGCCAAUUCCUUCUUACAUUCCCCUAGUACUUUCUACUUUUUAUACGCCUUUUCACUUUCUUAGUGGAACCCUAGACAAAUGCUUUCCGUAGUAUGAACGUUGUCUGGAACCUUAGUUACUCUAAGUUAAACAAAUCUGGUUUCACAUUAGAAUUUGAGGACUGCAUUAGAGAUGCUGUUUAUAAGUCAGACUCAUUUUAAAAGUAAGAAUAUACUCUAGCGUUCUUUCUCAUUGUGAAUAAUUGGGUAUCUUUUCAAUUCUACUUUUAUGCAUUCUCUCAAUACUUUAAAUGUAUUUGGGUUUUUUGUAAUUAAAUGACUUUGAAUGUACGUUGGAUGUACGUUGGAUGGAUGUUGGAUGUUGGAGUUUGCACACUUACUUGAUUAUUAGUUUAGCAUUGUUGUUUUAUUAAAUUUCCAAAAUUAUUGGGUUAGUUAGUAAACAUCAGUGCAUGAUUCCUCUUUCAUCAUACUUUCAAUAGUUGUAUUUUGAAUUAUCAUGUUAAGUUCUCCAAAAAACACAUUAUGAUUUUAAUGAUUAGUUAUUUUAAUUUCGAAAAUAUCAUGUAAAAUAUUAUUUAAAAAUAAGAUUGAUUAGAUAUUUUAAUUUUAAUAAAAACUUUACUUUUAAAUAUAGAUUCAAAUCGUGUCUUACUAGAAUUCUUAUUAAUAGUCAUGAAAGAAAAAAUUGUUCUCAAAUAAACCAAAGUUGCAAGUAUAACCAUGCGUUAUUAAAUUAUUCCCUUUAUUAUUGUGGUAUUUAAGUAUGCACCACUAUUCAUUUUUGGAUGCACCACCGUUUAACAAGAUAAGUAAUACAAAAAAAAUUCAAAGGAAAUUAAUAAGGUAAUCAAAAUUAUACAAAAUAUUGCAAUUUUUAAAAUAAUUUCCAAACAUCCAAAACCUCAAAAUACAUGUUUUGUAAUGUUAAUUUUAAUUUUAAUAAAAUCAUAAUACAUAUGUUAAGCUGUAAAUAAAUCAUAAUCUAAUUUUUCAUAUUUCAUUUUUUAAAAAUAAAACUAAUCAACACUGAGAGUAAUAAACAUUCUUCUGUACUUUCCAAGGAUAUUAUUUUGGAUGAUAUAUUAAAACUUAUUCAUUAAUUUAGUAAGCAAUUUUAUAAAUGUUGAAAUUUCACUUAAAUCUGAUGUAAAACAUUUUAUAAGUUAUCCAAACAUGUUAUGCUUAUAAAUUAUAUUUUUAAUUCAAACAGUUCUAAUAUUAUUAUGCUUAUAAAUACAAUGUUGUUCAAAUAUUGUUGUUGUCAAAUAGUAUUUUAACAAGUUUUUGAUGUGAAAAAAUACUAGUAUUUAUAUUAAAUAUAUAUAUAUAUAUAUAUAUAUCUUGUGUUAUUGAUAUAUUUUUAAUAUCGUAAUUUUUCUCAUAUGUUUAAAGAAAUUAUAAAAAAAGGACAUAGUAUUAUGUUCUUUUUUUCAAAGUAAACCAACAAUAAAUUCUUGCCCAAAAUUUUAUUUUUAUUAUAAUUUUUUGAAAAAUAAUAAUUAGUUGAUAAUUAAUUGAAUUAAGUACGUUAACAAAUAUAUAUAUAUAUAUAUAUAUAUAUAUAUAUUACAUUUUUGUUGAAAAUGUUAACCUCAAAAUCUAUGAAAUAAAAUUUCACAUGUCCUAUAAUGUUAAAAGUAAUGAAACAAAUGAUACAAUAAUCCAAAAGAAAAUAGUACUAAACCUAAGCUUCAAUAUCAUAUUUCAUUCAUAAUCACAUAGUCAAAAGCUUCAGGUAAGUAACCAAUUACACACCCCCCCCCCCACAUCACAAAAUAUUCAAUCAACAAGAAAUCUCUGAAUAGUAUGGUAAAAUCAUGGUUUUGUAUAUGAUAGGGAGGACAAUGCACUUACAUACAAGCUUUUUUCUUUUGGUUAAAUGCUGUGGAUUUCAACAGCAAUAGUCCCCUGUGCAUAUAAAAGUGUGUUGUUAACCUAUUAAUGUAAGAAUCAGGGGAUGCCUUUUCAUUAUAAACCAUUAGUUUUGUUUGGAUGGUACAAGAAGAGGGGCACCCGGGUCCAUCCCCCCUGGGACACAAUCAACCAAACCAGGGCGAGGUGCAUGCACCUUGGACUUAGCUAUGGGGAACGGGAACGGGCCGGGCGACCAAGCCAAUACGCACUCCCCCUCAUUCCUAAACACGGGUGCCACAGCUCUGCCCGGUGCAUCCCCCCUGGCCACAUCGGGGGACGGGUUGGAGGAUCCACCGUGGCACCCGCAUGUCCUGAAUGUGGCCACGAUGUCGACUCACACCACGUGCAUGCAUCUCCCGGAAGAACAUUCUUCCGAAGGGGUUCACAGCGCGGAAAAAUUCCUACGUGGACUGCUACGUCCAGGUACAUGUAAUUAGGUUUUUUUUUUUUAUUAUUUAUUUAUUUAUUUUGUUGUUCCCUCUAUUUAUGUCUGUGAAUUGUUCACGGUUUUAGGAGACAACGUUGAGUUACAAGAGUGCUGGUUGCUCUUGGUAUCCAUGUGCUUUUGGUUUCAACUUUUGCUUUAAAGUACUGUAAUGCUUUCAUCUCUCUCUCUCUGUAUAUAUAUAUAUAUAUAUAUACAUACAUAUACAUAUGUAUAUUUUUCCCUUUUUUUUAAUUGUGUGAUGUCAGUUUUUAAGGAGAUUCAAUGCUAAGAAUGGUAUUAUAGAAUGAUAUUUCUUAAAAAAUAUUUUUUUCUGAUUAAUUUAUAUUCUUGUUUUUGCUUAUUUUAUUUUUAAAAACAAACAUAUAUCAAACUGCAAAUUAAAAAAAGUGGGUUCAAAAAAUGGAUAUUAGAUUGAACAAUUGAUAGUUCAUGCAAAGGUGUUUUGAAAACAUCAAUGUAAAUAUGAUCUUAAACAAAUAAAUUUAUAUUGAUGAAUUAUUUAUUGCACAGUUCAAUACAAUUUUUCAUUUCUUAAGAAUGUUGGAAGGAGAAAAUUAAGAAUAAUUGGAUCUUAAGGAACGGAAUAAAAGAAAAAGUAAAGAAAGAGAAAAACAAAUUAAGAAUUGUGUAGUACUGCACAACUAAAAUGGAAAGCAUGGACAGGAAAAAUAAAUGUUCUCUUUAAAAGACUCCCAUAUCCACUUGUUUCUAUUCUAUUAUAUAUCUUCUAUUUAUUAAUUCAAUUAACCUUUUAAGCUGAAAAUUAAAAAUUUAAUUUGUAGCUGAUUAUUUUUAAUUUAUUUUUUUAUUAAAUUUCUGUAUUUUGUUUUUAACUUUUUUAAUUUUUAUUUUUAGUUUUUUUGUUUGUACAGAUUAAUAGAGAAUAUCUUUGAUAGAUUAUUUUUGAUUUAAAUUUUGACUUGUACACACGAUAUAGUUACAAAUAGAGACAAACCAACAUUAAUAUAAAUAAACAUAUAUCCUCCAAAACCUGUCUUUGCUUGAAGUAGCAACUUUUGCAACUUUACUUGCAACUACAUUCUUACAUUGCAAAUAUUAUUAGUUCUCUAUAUGAUUUGUAUUUAAUUUUUUUCAUUUAAAUUUUUUUUGAAGCAUCUAAGUGUAACAAAUUUCACACUUAAUCUUCCUCAAAAAAUCUUAUUCACCAAAAAACAAUUCUUUGUAUGAUAGAAACAUAUAACACAGACUUAAAUUUUAUCAUCAUAACCUAUAUUUUUAGAAAUUUUAUAUUUUGUUAGAGUUUUUUAUUUUUAUUUAUUUUCAUGUUGAUUUAUAGCAUCAUAUUAUCACUUAUGAUUAUAAUCUUUUUUUAAAUAAAAUAAUUAGUUUUAAAUGUAUCUUAAUUGGUUGACAUGUUUUUGUUGUAGUCUGAGUUCGUAAUCUAUUUACUUAACAUGUUAGGAUAAACAUCUUAUAAGACCAUGACGAGAAAAUAAUAUAAAACAUUAUCAACUUUAGCUUUUUAGAAUUUAUUUUUCUUCUAUUAACAAUUGCAAGACAAAUUAUUAAAAUUUUUACACUUGAAGAAAAUCAACCUUUUAACUUUUAUAUGGCUAGUCUCUCCAAUUAUAUAUAUAUAUAUAUAUAUAUAUACUUAAAACAUCAUAUAACAAUUGUUUUAUUACAAAACUUCAUAUGAGCUACUUCAUAAAUUUAGUUUUCAAAAGAAAAAAAAUUAAAUAUUCAAAUGAUAGUAGUAGGCUCUCUAACGAGAUUAUUGAAACAUCUCUAAGUAUUACUAUAUCAUCUCUAGAUGCAAAUAUAUCUAUAAAAUCCUAUAUUUUAAUUAUGUAUUAAAAUUCUUUAAACUAUUGGACUUUUAUGAAAAAUAAAUUUUACACAAGGAAGAAUUUUUUGUCUUGUAGAUGCCAGAAGAGAUUUUUCAUUCUUCAACCAAUAUAUUGUAAGACUUAAAUGUAAACAUUGAGAAUUGACCAUAUAAGUGCAAAUAAUGCAAAAUAUGGUUUAUUGUAUAUUUAUUUUAUUUAUUUAUCUUUACAAAUAUUGCAAUGACUUUUGUAUUACCAAUAUUUUCUACCAUGAAGAAAAUUAUAAUUUAUCUAUUAAAUUUUAAGGAUUCUUAUUGUAUUAGUAUUUUGUGCCAAUGCAAAAGUUAAUCAGCUCUUUUUUACUUCUCUUAACACUCUCUUGUUUUAAAAUUACUAUGUACAGCACACACACAUACACUGACACACAUAUUUUUUAUACUCUCAACAUACCUAUGGAAAUCAUUCUUGCUUUUUUAUUUUUAUAAAUCAAUUUGAAUACAACAAAAUAUAAAAUUAUAAGUUUUUAUGAAUUGAAUUCUUUAUAUAUUAAUGCUAGUCUAAAUUACUGUAUAAUUUUUUAAAAAAUAAAAUUCAUAUAAAUAUCAAGAUUCCAUGCUUUAAAAUAUAUUUUUUAAAAUCUUAACUGUGCUACACCUUAUCAAGUUAAAAAUUUAUUUUCAUUUAAAAAAAAUAAAAAAUCUUCAAAUCACUAUAUAAUAAUAUAUUUUAAAUAAUAAAAAUCACAGUUUUAACUUCUUAUAGCAGGAAACUACUCUAAUUGCCUUCAUUAUUUUGUAAAAUCUAAAAUCCAACUUCUUCAUAGACCAAAAUACAAUAAAAAACUAAUGCAAUUAGUACAUCUUUUUAUUUCUCUAAGUUACUUUGAUACCUUCAAAAUCUUUUAAUCACUUCAUAAUAUUUUCUUCUAUAUUUUAACAUAUGAAUCAAAUUUAAUAUCUUAUUUUUUCAACUCUACUUCUUUUAAUUUUCUUUUUUCUUUUUUCAUCCAUUAAUUAAUAAGAGGUUUUAAACUCGAAAUUCAAGAUACUCCUCAGCAACUAAGAUUUAAUUGCUACCGUUACUGUUGCUAUUUGUUCUAACUAUUAUUCAUCUUAUUUAUGUUUAUUCUUAAAAAACUUCUGAAAAAGUAGAUUUUAUAUCAAUUAAAAAAGACAGCCUCUUAAUUUAAGAUUUUUAUUUUUUAUUUUAUUUUUUUAUGUUAUCUCUAUUAUCUAAUUUAGAUCUAUCUUAAUUAAUAAAUUCAAUAAUUAUUCAAUAUUUAAAUUAUUGAAUAAAUAUAGAAAGUGAUAUUUAAAUUUUAUAUAUAUAUAUAUAUAUAUAUAUAUAUAUAUAUUAUAACUUUUAAAUUUUUUAAAGAUAAUGCAUUUUAUUUUUUGGAUUAGAAAGAUGCAUAAAUAAUAUUUAUGAAUUUGUGUAUUAUUGGUUAUAUACUAUUAUGUCUUUUUAUCAAAGUUACUUAAUUAGAUAACACAUUCUACAAUCUUUGUUCUUUUUUGAUCAAGUAAUAAAAAAAACACAACCUAAGAUAGUCACAUGUUUAAGCAAGAUUAUUAUUAUUUUAUAAUAUAGCUCUAAAGAUAUUAUAAAUUUUAUUAUUCUUAUUUAUUAUUAUUAUUAUUCAAAGUCUUUAAAUGAACAUUUUGGUUUUUAAGAAUAAUUUAUAAGAGAGAUUUUUUAUUUUUUAUUAUUUAUUUAUUUUUUAUUAUAUAUAUCUCAUUAUAAUUUCAACUUGAAAAUAAAUUUUUGGAAUGGAAUAUAAUUUUAUCAAACAGUUGUCUUAUAUUUUAUUUUCCCAUAGUAGUUCCAUAGUAGUUCCAUACAGAAUGGAAUAUAAUUUUUGGAAUGGAAUAUAAUUUUAUUUAGUAUGGAACUACUAUGGGAAAAUAAAAUAUAAGACACUAGUUUCUAUAGAGAAUAUAUUAACUAAAAUAAGAUAAAAUAAGAUAAAAUAAGAUUAGAAAAAAAAAAUUAUAAUCUUCAAAAAUGUUUAAUCACACCAAAUUCAUAUUUUAAUUUAUCUUUAUAUAUAUACUUUGUAUAAGAAGCAACCCUUGAAAAAAGCUUCUUGAUAAUUAUUCUGAAAAAAUUGAAUUUUUUGCAUAAUACAUUAAAUUUCAUAUGUCUCUUAUAGAAGUGCUACAUAACUACAUAGAUUAUCUUUAGAUCAAAUUUAGAUCAUAAGUUAGAUUAUAUUUCUAAAUUAAUAUAAUAUGUUAAUUUAAUAAAUGUUAUUUUAUAAUAUAUAUAUAUAUAUAUAUAUAUAUAUAUAUUCUUUUUACCUUAAAUUUUUUUCACAUUAUAUUUUUAUUAUUUUUUUCUUCCUCUAUUGUAUGUUUUGAAAAAUGAUUUAUCUUUGAAUUGCUACCUUUUUAACAUAAAAGCAUAUCCAAUUUAGAGUCAUAAUUAUAAUACCACUACUUUUAUAUAGUUGUUAUAAUAAAUAAAUAAAUAAAGCAUGGUUGUAGUCUACUUAGAAAGCCAUUUAUACUACUUAGUUUAUUCUCUUGAUAAAUUAGUCAAUAAUUUAAAAAAAAUCUUAAUAGAAUCAAAAUAAAGAAACGAAUAUUCAGUAAAUUCCAAAGCUUUGAACAAUAACUGAAAAUUCAUAAAUCAAAGUGAGAAGUGUGGUGUUUUAGAUCUAUUUCUUUGAAGUAUUAAUGAAGUAAAUAGUAUCACAUACAUCUAUAUAAUGUAGCUUAGUACGUUUGCAGUAAUAUGCAUAGAAAAAAAUAAAUAUUAACAUCAUUAUUAAAAGAACUUGAAAGUAGGUACGAACUUACAAGUGAUGCUACAUGCUUCUAGUGCUUCUGAAUUUCAUUUAAGCUUCUAAAAUCAUACAUUAAGUCAAAAAGUCUAGAAACGUCUUUGCAGAAAGACUUGGAAGUCAAUUUGAUAUCUAAUAACUUUUAAUAGAUGAGAAUGUAAGUUUACAACCAAAAUUAAAUUAUUUAUUUUAAAAAAUAAUCAACUAUCUUUAGCAUAAGAAUAUUGUAAAUUUGUAAUUUCUGAUAGAUUAUUUAAAUUUACAUUUUUUUAUUAUCUCAUUGCUGGUAUUACAAUUUUAUAGCUAUGAUUGAAAUGGUUGAUACUAAAAUAUUCUAUCUAUUGUUUGAUAGUUCAAAAUCUUUUUUAUUUUUAUUUUUUUUUAAUUUUUUUAUAGAGAAUAAAGAAAGAAAGUGAAAAUAUUAAGAUUCAAUAGAUUUCUUAUUACAAAUAUAAAUUAUAAGAUAAUAAAGAUAUUGCAAGUGCAUAGUAUUUUAAUGUAUACCUAAGUAGUCAUGGCUAUAUAAUACAUAAAUAUAAAAGAAAUUUAACCCUCCAUGAAUUUUAAUCAAUAUAAAUAAUUAUAUAUAAUAUCAUUAAAACUAAAUAUUGAUGUAUUAUUUGAGAAAAAAAUUGAUUUAAAAAAAGAAAAAGAAAAAACCUGAAAGAAUUUAAAUUAAUAUACUAUUAAAUGAUAUAAUCUUAACUAAUGGCUUCAUUACAAAAGACUUAGAUUAACACCCGAAAUUUUUCAAAUAAAAUUCAAAGCAUAAUAUGCCUAAUAAUUUUUGCAAUGUAUAAUUUAUAAGAAAAAUCUAUUAUUUUUUAUUUUAAACUUGUAAAAUUCUUAUAGUGAUUUUUAUCAAAAAUAAACUUUAUAUGAAAGAUUUUUUUUUCCUAUUUUUAUUAGAGUAUUAAAAAUAUUUUUUAUUAUAUAUAAUACUUUCUAGUGAUUUUUUGAAGCAAAAUUUAUAUUUCCAAUAACUUUUUUAGUUGGUAGAUCUUAUUUGAUACUAACCAAAGCAAAAAUAUUACUAUACAAUAUAUUUAAUUUUUAUUUGUAAAGAUUUUAAUCACUUAAUAUAAUGACUUCUUAAUUCAAGAGAUAUUCACUAUAAAAAAUUUAAACUUAAAAAUAUCUAUAAAAACUAUAGAAAAAUUUAUUUUUCAAAUAAUGAUAUGUAAUACUUGACUCUUUGAAGGACAUCAAGAAUAAAAAUUUGGUUUAAAAGAAAAAAAAAUCAAGUAAUGACCAUGACUUCUAAAUAUUCAAAAAUCUAUUUAAAAAGACUAAACUUAUGUAAAUUUAUACAACUUAAUUUGAUUAUAUAUAUAUAUAUAUAUAUAUAUAUAUAUAUAUAUAUAUAUAUAUAUAUAUAUAUAUAUAUAUAUAUAUAUAAAAUCAAAUUUUAUUUUAAAAAUAUUUUAAUAUGUUUUAUUAAAGCAAGUUCUAAGAGAUAAGACUUAUGCAUCAAAUCAACUAGAUUCUAACUAUAAAAUAUAAGAUAAAAUAAAAUAAAAAAUAUUUAAUAUCAAUAAAAACCUUAUUAUAUAUUUUUUUAUUAAUUAUAACUAUUAUACACAAGUCUCAUGUCACCAAAAGAUUAUAUACUUAUCAAGAAUAUGAAUCUUAAAAAACUAAAAGCUCAAUAUACUCUUAUGGCUAAUUUAUUGGCCAAAUUUUUAACCUACUAAUCAACUAUAAACAUGUAUAAAGUCAAAUACACAUUAUCAAAGACAUGAAUCUCAAAGAACCAAAAAUUUAAUAUACUCUAGUACAACUUAAAAUGAAUAGAUAUUUACUCAAAACUAAUAUAGUAUUGAAAUUGAAAUAACUAUUGCUAAAAAUAAAAAAAUAAAAAAAUCUUGAAACAAGACUAAGAAUGAAAAAGAUGUUGAUAAGAGUGAAGAAGGCUUCACUCUUGCCUCUACAUAUACUAUCUAAUUAGAAGUUAUAUGACAACAUUCUAUAAGAUUUUUAACACAUAUUCAAUUUUCAAGAAUUAUGUCUUAACUUAUAAGACAAGUUUUUUAUAUGUGCACCACAUCAUUAACUUGUACUAGAAGCUAUCAAUAUAAGUAAUACAUGGUUAACUUAUUGGCCAAGUUUUUAACCUACCAAUGAUCCAUAUAUACAUAUAAAAGUGAAACCAUGUCUAUGAAGCUUCUAGAAAGCUUCUCUAUAAGUUAUUAUCAAAUUAGUCUACUUUUAUCUAUUCAUAAUAUCUAUAUAAUUAUUAGAAUAAAUAUGUAUGUUUGUAAUAUGUAUCUAUGAGGCUUCUAAGAUUCUUUGCUAUAUGAUAAUAUCAAAUCUCUCUCUCUCUCUCUCUCUCUCUCUUUAUAUAUAUAUAUAUAUAUAUAUAUAUAUAUAUAUAUAUAUAUAUAUAUAUAUAUAUAUAUAUUUUACUUAAUACUUCUUAUCUAAAUAAAUAUGUAUAUUUGUAACAUAAACAUUUCUUUUGGGAAUAAGUUCUAUAAGAUAUGAUUAUCAUAUGUUGGAUAAAUCAAAGAUGUGAUAAAUUGUAUUUGCUACAUACUUUGAUCUUUGUUCUCUUUGGAGGUGGGUGAUAGGUCUUCUCAACCAUCAAUAAUAUUCCAUUUUAAGGUAAGAAGUCCAUGAUGUUAUGUGGGUGUAGUAGAAGCCUUUGUAACUUCCUUCAUAUAAAAUAUGUGUAAGACUAAUAGAAAUUAUUUUUACUUCCAAUAAAAUUAUAAGAUAUUAAAAAUCUAUUAUAAAGUCUUGAUAUCAAAUGUAUUGUAUUUUGCCAUCUAUUUGAAACAGAGCUUGUUAUUCUUAAAGGUCUCCAUGUCAAUUACGCUGUCCUAAAGGAUGUGACAAUUGCAAUAUCUCAUUUGAUAAGUCAAUAAACAAUAGCUCUUAAGUUGAAUUUGUUGGUUGUUGGUUCUCCAUCUACUUAGCACCUCAAAUAUACAAACAAAGAUAGAAAGUAAACUGAAAUCUUUCUUGAAAUAUAUAUUUUUUUUAUAACAAAGAUUUGAUAUUAUUCAUCUUGAUUUUAAUAAAUGUUGUCAAUAAAUAGUAAAAUCUUGUUUGUUGUAUUUAAAAUAUUUUUAGCUAAUUUUUAUGUGUAUUCAUUAAUAUCAUAUCUAUGCUAAUAAAUAAAAUAUUUUAAUCUAUUUUAGAGCCACUUUGAGUCUAAAACUUCUUUCAUCUUGAAUUCUUGAUUAUUAUCUACUUCUAGGGAAGAAACAUUUUUUUUUCAAGAUAUUCAUUGCCUUAUAUGCCUCAAAAAGAGACAUGUAAAACAUAAAGAUGGAUUUUUAUAGACUUUAAUAGAUAUAAUUAAUAAAAAUUAAAUUUAUUUACUAACAAAUAGGAAAUAAUCCAAGCCUAUGAUAUCAAGAAAGUAAGCCUCCUUAGGAAAGCACAAGGUCUUUGAUUAUAAGUGGAUUGCAACAAAGCACAAUGUUGUCUCAAAUAAAUUCAAAUAUAAAAUAGUAAUUCAAUUGUUGAAUACAAUUUUUAGAUUAAUUCCUUUGUUGUACUAAGAUGCAAUCAAUUCUUAAUUCUAAUGUCAAAUCCAAACCUCCUAUCACUAAAAUAUCUAUAGCUUAUUUGUUAUUUAUUCAAUUUAAUCAAAAUUUAAUUCAAUUAAUUUAAAUUAAGCUAUAAACUUCAAAAUAUCAAAAUUAAUAAACAAAUUUUAGAGAAAAAAGAGCCAAAUCAAGAAAAAAAAUAUAGCUGCUUGUUGUAGCUACAACCUUCAAAAUUUCUAUCAACGAAUUAACUUGGAUCUUUCUUGUUACAACUUCCUUUCUUAUAUACAAAGGCUUAUUAAAAAAAUAAAAAUAAGAUCUAACUUCUUUCAAAAUCUCAAAAAUAAAAAGAUAAAAAUUUAAUAAACAACAUGAAAAACUUAAAUCAAUUUUCAAUCUCAUUGUCUAAAUAUUUUUAGUGACUUCUUUGUAAAAAAUUUGCAUGGAUCUCCUUUGUCAUUGAUUUUUUUCUUGUAUGAAAAGGCUUAUUGAAAAACUAUCAACAAGAUCUAGCUUCCUUCAAAAUCUCAAAAAAAAAAAAUAUAAAAAUCUAGUACAUGGCAUGGAAAACUUUAAUUAGUCUUGAAUCUUGAUGUCUAAAUGUUUUUAGCAAUCCUCUCAUCUAUAAAUUUGUAUAGAUCUCACUUAUCACAAUAGCCUAAAGAAGACCUACUUGAUGCCAAAACUUUGCCCUAAUCUUCUCCUAAUAUCCGUCUUGAAUCACUAUAAAGUCGAAUAUAUAUCUUAAAAGAUAAUAUCCUCAAAGCUUGAAUAAUCUAUUGAAGGCAACAAUUUCCUAUUCUAAAUUCCAUUAAAAUUUAUAAAUAUAUUAGUAUUAUAUUCUUCCUUCUUACAAAUAAUACUAAUUAUCCUCCAAAUAAUUUUAAUGUAUUUAAAUUAUGUAUAUCAAGACAAUGAUAAUUCUAAUUGUCAAAAAGGCAACUAAUUUGAUAUUGUGACAAAAUUACCAUACAUUGUUGUUAACAUGGAAUUGAGGUUGUUCUUUGUAAUAGGUAUUUAUAUUGAUCUUUUGUUGUUCUUGUGAUUCUUUUAGUUGUGCCUUUAUUGUUGCAUAUAGUUUUAAUAAAUAAUUUGGCAAUAACUUCUCUUACAAGAGUAUUAUUUUUUGAAAAGUCAAAAGUAUUAAAUUAUGGAUGAUAACCAUAAUUGACAAAAAAAGAUGUUUGUUGAAUAAAAGAAUGUAUUGUAUUAUUAUAUGCAAAUUUUUCCAAUGAUAAAAGAGUUGUUUAAUCACCUUAUUGAUAAUUGAUGAUACACUUCAAAUACCACUCCGAAACUUGAUUCAUUUGCUCCAUUUGACCAAUAGUUUGCAAAUUAAAAACCAAAGAUAAUUUUAUAUUUAUCUCCAAAAUUUUAAAAAGAAUUUUUAAAAUCUUAAUAUAAUAGAAGUUUUCUUAUCUGAUAUAAUAUCUAUUGGCAAUCUAUUAUAGCAACAGAUAUUAUAAAAGAAAAGCUUAAUUAUUUCUUCACUUGUAAUAGAUUUUGUACAUAGUUCAAAAUAUACCAACAUCAUGAAUUGAUCUACUAUUACAAAAAUAUGGUAAAAAGAACUUGAGAUUGAAAGAUCCAUGAUAAAAUCUAUAGAAAAAAAAGACUAUAAUUAUUUUAAAAUAGAUAAUAGUUGGAAAAAUCCAUGAAGUCAAUGAUAAGGAGUUUUUGAUCUUGAAGAAAUGUUACAUGAUUGCACAAAGACUUUGACUGCUUUCUACAUUUGAAGCCUCUAAAAAUCUCUUAAUAUUAGUUUCAAAAUUUUAUUGUAUCUAAAAUAUUUGAUUACUGAAAAUUCAUGACAAAUUUAAGAAUACUUAAUCAUAUUUUAUCUUUUGGAAUGUAUAAUCAUCUCUUGAAAUAGAUUAGAUUAUUCUUGAAUUUAAACUUAAAAGUAUCAUGAAAAGAAUUAUUCUUAAUAUCAUGAAUAAAAGAAUCAAAUGAUAUACUCAAUUAAACUUGUUCGAAAAAAAUUAAAUUAGAAAUCAAUGUUGAUUUCAUUGCUUAAAGAUGAAAAUGCUCUGAUUUUAAGAGAAUUAUUUUUUAUUAAUCAAAAGCUAUAUUUUCUUCUUUUGGUAGAAAAUAAGAAUGUUUAAGAAGGGUGUUUGACAAACCUUGUUGUUUUUUGGAUUAAUAAGUCACCUUGAAAUUAAAUCUUGAUAAAGACAUGUUCCAACAAGCUUAGCAACAAUUCAAAAGACAUGUCAAUAUAAAAUACUUGAGGUUCUUAUAAUUUGUAUAUAUGGUGAUUGAACUAAAAGUGCAUUCUUAUCUUGUAUCAACUAAUUGCUAAAAUAUUGCUUGUUUUUUUCUUUUAUUAUUUUUGAGAUCUUUCAAUCUAUAAUAAUUUGAAUCUUUUUAAGAUCCAUCAUAAAGUCAUCAAUUGAAAUGAUGUAUUCCAAGAAGUCAAUUUGAGUAAAACAAAUCCAUAAGUCAAACAAAUCCAUAAGUCAAAUUAGAGGGAGAUUUUGUACAACUUGUAAUAUCAAAUAAAAAUUUCUAAAAAAUGAGAUUUUUUUUAAAGGAAAAAAUUAGUUUUAAAAAAUUAAAUACUAAGUUUUAGAUGGAUAAUCUAUAACCUUCAAAUAUAAAAAAAUUGAAAUAAUCUAUUUAAUUUUUAAAUCCAAUCAAAAAUAAUAAAUUAACAUUCUUGUCAAACUAUCAAGGACAUGAAGUUUAAAAAAUUAAAAGAUUAAUUCACUCUUGUGUUACUCAAAAAGAUUAAAAAAUCAUUCAAAGGUGAUGUAAUAUUAAAUUAAAAUGGCUAUUGCCAAAGAUAAUAAGACUAAAAACUCUUAAAACAAAUCUAAGAAUUAGAAAGGUAUUGAAAAGAGUAAAGAAGUUUCUACUCUUGCCUCUAUAUAUACUAUCAACUAGAAGCUAUGUAGGAACUGCUAUAAGACUUCCAAUAUAUAUUUAAUUUAAAAAUAUAUAUAUCUUAAUUUAUAAAAUAAGUUUUUUUAUAUGUAUGCCACAUUAUUAAAUUAUAUUACAAGCUAUCUAAAUCAUAUAGAUAAUUAUUGGUUUAUAUGUAUAAGUCUGUGAUGGUAGAUAAUUUAAUUCCAUAAUAUCUUCCAAACAAAUUUCUUAGAAGCUUUUUAGAAGCUUCAUAUAUAGUGCUUUGACUUUAUAGGUGACUUUAAUUGACUUUUUAGAUUAAAAAAAUGGUCAAAAAAUUGACCAUGUGCCAUACAUGCCGGUAGUUUAAAGAACAAGCUAAUUAUGUGACCCACACACAGAAAACUUGCCUUGUAAGUUAAGAUAUGUAUCCUGUAAAGUCAACACAUAUUAGAAGUCCUAUAGAACAUCGUCACAUAGUUCUUAGUUAGAUAGUAUAUAUAGGGACAAGAGUGAAGUCCACUUUACUCUUAUCAAGUUCUUUCUUGCUUCUAGUCUAGACUUAAGAGUCUCUAGUUUUUUGUCUUUUGGCAAUAGCUAUUCCAAUUUCUUUUUAUUAUACAUACUACUUUAUUACUAUUUUAUCAUUUUUUUCUUUUAAUAUAGAUUUUCUAAGCUUGUACAUCUUCUUCUAGUUCAUGUCUUUGAUAGUUGUCACGGCCAUAAUCAUGUAAGCUAAUAAUUACAUAUACAAAUAGGUAGAAGUAAGUAAAAGUAGGUAAAAGUAAGUUAAUUCUAUAAUAUUUAAUAUGGAAGCUUUUUAGAAGCUUCCUAGACGCUGCUUUGACUUCAUAGGUAUCUUUAAUUGACUUUUUGGAUUAAAAACGUGGUCAACAAGUUGGCCAUGUGCCACACAUGUUGUUAGCUUGAAGAUAAAGCUAACUAUGUGGCCCACACGUAGAAAAACUUGCCUUGUUAGUCAAGGCAUGUGUCCUACAAAGUCAACACAUAUUGGAGGUCUUAUAGAACAUUGCCACAUAGCCCCUAGUUAGAUAGUAUAUAUAGAGACAAGAGUGAAGGCUUCUUCACUCUUGUCAACUCCUUUCUUGCUUCUAGUCUAGUUUCAAGGGUCUCUAGUUUUCUUGUCUUUUGGCAAUAGCCAUUCUAGUUUCUCUUUCAAUAUAUAUACUUGUUUAUAUAUAUUUUGUUACCUCUCUUUGAGUGAAGGCUCACUUGUCUGAAUUGUUUUUUCAUCGAGUUCUUAUCCUUAAUAAUAGCUUCUCACGCAACAAAUGAGUAACUUAUUGGUCAAGUUUUUAAUCUAUUAAUCAAUUAUAAAUAUAUAAAAAGUUAAAUAUGCAUCUAUGAGGCUUUGCCAUAAGACAAUAUCAAAUCUAUCUAUAUUUAUUUUCUAUCUAGCACUUCUAAUCUAAAUAAAUAUAUAUAUAUGUUUGUAACUAUAUUUUUGAUAAUUUUUUUAAUAUUCUAUUAAAACUUAAAAUUUAAAAUUUCAGUUCAAGUAUUAUUAUCUUGUAAUAUAAUUAUUACAUAAAAGAGAUUAAAAAAAUAUUAUAUCAUAAAAAUAUUUAUUAAAAAUUUCACAUCUACACCAAAUAGAACAUUUAUUUUGUUGAUUGAAAAAAAGAAUUUGUGUGAAGACUUCAUACAUGUUUGUUGGAUAGUGGUUUUGAGAUAUUUAGAUACAAAUUGAUUUUUGAUAGCUUUGCAAAGUUAUGAUUAUUUUAGAUGACUUUGAUUUUUUUAUUAUAUAUAUAUAUAUAGAUAUAUUUGUGUAUGUGUAUAUAUAUGUAUAUAUAUUUUGUGUGAAUUUAAAAGCAAAUAUAUAUAUAUAUAUAUAUAUAUAUAUAUAUAUAUAAAUAUAAAAUUUUGUAAUUUUAUAAAUAUAAUUGUAUUAAAUAUCCAUUGUAAAUCUAUUUACUCUUAAAUUAUUGGAUUCAAAGUAAUUGAGUUUAAGUAACUUAGAAUCAUAGAAAUUAGAAUUUGAAGGGUAUUGAAGUUUUUUAGAUUUUAAUCAAUCUAUCAAUUAGAUUGAAAUAAUUUCUUUUAUAAUGAAAGUUGACUAAUGUGUUUAUAUUCUUGCAAAACUUAAGACAAAAUUAAUAAAUUAAGAGAAAGAUAUAGAAGCUAAAAGUUUUAAUUUAAGCUUAAAAAAAGAAGAUAGCCAACAUCCAAACAAAUUAGAAAAAAUUUCUUCAAAUUUUAAAAUUCAAUUCUAUUUAAAAAUUUUGUGUUAUUUUUUUAUUAAUCAUUUGAUGUCUGUAGAACUUUUGAAAAAAUAUCAAUAGUUAAUAUAUUAGUUAUUAGGAUUUAAUAUUUAUUAUAGUAUAUACUUAAAAUUUGAGUACGAUCAAUCAGACUUUACAUGAUGUUUAAUUAAGGUUUUGAAUUUUUUUAGAAUUCUAUUAGAAUUCAGUUAAAGUUUUAUUAAGAUUUUAACAGAAUUAUUUUGGAAUUCAAUUAUGGCAUAUCUAUAAUAUUUUUGUAAUUUUUAAAGAUUUUUGUGAUUUCUUUAAGAUUUUACUUAAAUAUAUAUAUUUAUUUAUCUAUAUAUUAUUUCAAUAGAAUUUCUUGUGAUGUUUUUAAGGAUAUAUAUAUAUAUAUAUAUAUCUAGAUUUCUUGUGAUUUUUUAAAGAUUUUAUUAAGACUUUUUUUAUCAUAAUUUUAGAUUUAUUUGAAUUUAAAUUUAUUACUAUAAGAAUAUUUAGGUAUUUUAAGAUUUUUAAAGUGCUUUUGAAUACCUUAUUUAUUUAUUUUUUAUUAUGAAUCUAACUUCAAGGUCAAAUCAUGCCCUUUUACAAUUAGAUGCCACAUGAAUUUCUAAGAUGAAUUUCACAUAACAUAACAAUACUUUUAGAUACAAAGCUAUAUAUUAAUCAACCAUCUCAAUUAUAAUUUUUUGGACUAAGAUAUAUAUAUAUAUAUAUAUAUAUAUAUAAUCAAAUAUUAUUUUUAUUCAAAUAGAAGUUAUUAUAGAAUCAUUGUAAAGAAUUUAAAAAAUAUCAAGUUUUAUUUUUAAAAAAAUAUUAAAAUAUUACUAUAAUAUCAAUCUUGUGACUAUGUAUUUAAUCUUCAAGAAUAAAAUCAACCACUAUUUGGACCAACUUAUAACUUGUCAUAGAAUUUUUUUUAUUUCUUUAAUAUAUUAUAUUAAUAAAAGUCUUAUAAAGUACAUUGUGUGACAUUUAAAAUUUCUUGUAAAUAUUUUAAUUAUAUUUGUGAAGAACAAAGAUAGAUCUUUGUAAAUUUUGUAAUCAUGAUGGAUACAAAAAAUUAACCAUCAAUCAUUCAUAUUUUUUGCCUUUGAUGUCGGAAUUCCUAUAUCACCUAAGAAAAUCUAAGAUCUAUAUUUAGAUAUAUUUAUAAAAAACUUAUAGUUUAGUACAUAUUAAAAAAUUGGAUUAAUAAAAGUCUACAAUAUAAAUUAAAUAUGUUCAUUUAAAAUAUAAUUUCAUGCCUUGAAGACUUAAUAAUCCUCUUUCUAUUUUUAAAUAUUUAAUAAGUAAUAUAUUUAGUAAAUUUCUAAAUUAUUUUAUUUUAUUUUAUUUAAAAAAAUUCUUAUAUAUUUUUAAAAUAUAAAAAAAAAUAUACAAUAUAUUUACUUUAUAUUAUAAAAACUUCAAACUGUUAGAUCAUAUACCAAGAUGGAUAAAUGUGUAUUUUCAUGUACACCAAUAUUGACAUUAAUAAUUAGGAGGAUAAAAAAAAUUAGAUAGAAAUAUGUUGAAGUAGAUUAAUUUAAGAAUAUUAUUAUUAACAGCUUCAUAGAAACUUUAUAGAUAGAGGUUUAAAUUUAGAAGUAUUUAUGGGUAAUUAAUAGGUUGAAAACUUGGCCAACGAAUUGGCGAUAUAUUGCACAUGUUGGAAACUUACCUUGCAAGUUAGAUAUAUGUCUUGCAAGUUAAACACAUAUCAUAUGACCUAUAGAACAUUGCCAUGUAGUUUCUUAAUUAGAUAUGGAAGCAAAAAAGAGACCUUCUUUACUCUUAUCAAUGUUUUUUUUUUUUUUUUUAAUCUAAUUUCAAGAAUCUAUGAUCUUCUUCUCUUUGACAAUAGUCAUUCAAGUUUCUUCUUGAGUAUACAUUUAUAUUUGUUUUUAUUUACUAUUAUUUUUUUAUCAUAUUUUUUAAUAUAAUUAUAUAUUAUUUAAUUAAUUUAUAUUACUUAACUACUUUUUCUUCAUAGUAUUUUUCACAACUCAAGUAAAUUUUUUAAGAUAUAUCAUUUCAAAGAAAAAUUUACAAAUGGAUUGUGAGAAGUUACAUUCUAUUAUAGAUUGGACAAUAUUAAGACUUUUAUAUGAUAUUCUAUAUUCUUUAGAAUUUAUAGAUUAUAAUUUUAUAUUUACUAAAAAUUCUUCUAAAGUUUUUACUUUUCUUGCAAUAUUAGCUUUUAAAGAUGAAAUUAAAAUGAAAUAAAGAUGCAAAAGUUGUAUUUUAAGAUUUAAUUUUUUUUAUUUUUAUUUUCGUUUCUAUUUUAUAUUGCUUGAAUAUUUUAAAUGAUUUUUAUUUUUAUUUUUGUAAAAUUACAUAGACUAAAUUUAGUAUUAGAUAUUAUUUUAUUAUAUUAGGUAUAGAAGAUAGAUUUUGUUUUUAUUAAUUUUUAUUUAAAAAAAUUCUAAUUAUUGUAAUUCAUUAUAAAAUUUACAACAAAGAACUAUUUACUAUUAUAAAUUCAUUCUAAGAAUAUUGUUACUACCAAGAAGAUAAUUCUCAUCUAAUUAUAAUUUAUAUCAAUCAUAAGCAUCUUAAGCAUUUCAUGCUAGUACUUAAAUUAUUGACAAGCCUAUUAAAGUAUUUUUUCGUUGUAAUUUAAAAAUUAUAUCAUAUAUAAACUUAGAAUAUAAAAAGCUUGUUAGAUGCUUUACUAAAAGGUUCUUAUUUUUUAUAUAAAAAAACAUAUUAUGUAUGAUUAAUAAUAUAUAUUUUUUGAUAUUGAUGCAACUACGUAUUUGAGCCAUUAAGUAAAAAAUUCUAAUUGAUUUUUUUUUUUUUUUCUUAAAUAGAUCAAAAGACAUAAUAAAUUUAAUACCAUAAACCAAGAAGGUAUUAAAAAAAGCUUAGAGAUAUUAUUGGAUGAUGAUACUACAAUAAAUAGAAUGUAAAAUAUGUUGUUUGAAGGUAGUUACAAAGGCCAAAAAACAUAUCAAAUAAAAUGAUGGUCUAUUUGCCUCAGUUUGGAAUAUUGAUAAUGGUUAAAGAAACCUAUCAACUACCAUCUGUAAUGGAUGUUUAUAUUAAUUAUGUACAUAGAAAUAAAUAGAAUAUAAUAGGAAUAGCUAGAAACACUUUUUAUAUAUAAUAUCUCUAAAGCCUUUAUACAUACUAACUCCAAAGAAGUCUUGGAAAAGCUUCCUAAAGACUACAAGGCUUGUGGUCCAAGCUGCAAGUUGUAAGUUGCUUUAUUAACUAUGGAAAAAUUUGACCACAUUUAAUGAAAUUUAAGCUUAAAAAAAGAAAUAAUAUAAUAAAUUCUUAUCUUUUAUAUAUAUAUAUAUAUAUAUAUAUAUAUAUAUAUAAGAGUAGAUAGAAAUAUGUUGGAAAGAUGAUAUCUUUGUUAAGAAGCUUCAAAUUUAUUUUUAGAUAUAGAUUAGAUAUUUAGAUUUUUGUUAAUAUACCACAUAAUUAAAAAGAAAUCAUAUAAAUGUUUUGCUUUUAAAGAAUUACAUUGGAAGAAAUCAACAAUUUAACAAUGCCAUGUUGUACAUAUAGUAGAGUGUAAUUAAAAAUGCUGUGGAAAAUUAUUUAAAAAGUAAUAAUAAUGGUCACAGAGGUAAUAAAAUUAAUAAGUGCUAAUAUUGCUUUUUUACAAAAUAGACUUUUACUUAUUUUGUACAACCAUAAAUGAAGCAAAUCAAAGUAGAAAAGAAAAAAAGUAUUAUAUAAGUAUUAUUAAGAUGGAAUUAAGAGUAGUUUGUAGUAAAAACUAUCUUAAGAAAUUAAGAAUUAAUACCCAGAGAGGCAUAGUUGUAAACUAGGAUUGAAAUCAAACCUUAAGGCACAAAAUUACACAUCCACAAUAAUUCUAGGAUUCUUUGUUUGAUUGGAAAGUGGGAUUUGAUAGUAGGUUAGAGCAAGAUUUUUUGAGUAAUGAUUUUUGAGUGAUUUGAGUCUGUAAUGACUUUUAGAAGGCUUUGCAAAGUUAAGAUUGUUUGGAAUGACGAUGGUUUUUUUUUGAGAAAUAUAAAAAUUUAAUACUUUAAAAAAAUUUGUGAGAUUAAAAUAACACAUUUAUACUAAUAGCAGAUUUGGUUUUUAAUAGCUAUGCAAAAUUUGAGAGCAAUUGGAUGGUGAUAACAAGAAAUAUUGGUAUUUGGAAAUCAACAUUAAGGUUGGAGAAGGAAGCCAAUAGAUAGUUAAGUGGAUUAUGAGGUUCAUCUUCUAUUUGAUUAGUUUGAUCUUCUUUAAAUUAUUUAUGCUUGAUGUCAACUAAGUAAUUGAAAAUUGUAUAUUUUUUAAAUCAUUAUUAAUGAUUAAAUUAUUAAUUAUUAAGAUUUUAAUCUAUUAUAGGAUUUGAUUAAGAUUUAAUUAGAGUUAGGAUGUAGGAUUUAGGAUUUAAUUAAGAUUUAGAUUUAAGAUUUAACUAACAUUUAAAUUUGGGAUUUAAUUAGGAUUUGAUCAAGAUUUGGUUAGAAUUUAGAAUUUAGAAUUUAACUAUAUUUUGGAAUUUAGGAUUGGACUAGGAUUUAAGAUUUGGUUUGAAUUUGGUUAAAACUAGUAUUUAAAAUUUGAUUAGAAUUUGUUAAAAAUUUCAUUACAAUUUGAUUAGGACUUAUUUAGAGUUUUAUUAAAAUCUACUUAAAAUUUAUUAAAGGUUGUUUUGAAGUAUUAUUUUAAAAUUAAUUAGAAUAUAAUAAGAUUUAUCUAGGAUUUUUAAAAUUUUAAUUGGAUGUAUUUAAGAUAACUGUAAGCUUAUUUGGAUUGUUUAAGGAUGCCAAAGGAUAUUUCUAAACAACUUAUGCAUCAUUUUGGAUUGUAAAUCAAACUUCAAGAUAAGUUCAAAUUCUUCUACACCUAGAUGCCUAGUGCAUUCUCAAGUUAGUUUUCACAUUAUAUGACAAUGCUUAGACUACAAACCUUGCACUACCUAAAUAACUCCUACUAAACCUUCUUUAUAACUAGUGUAUAUGGAAGCAAUGAUAAGACUACUUCUUAGUCUUGUUAACAUCUUUUUUAUAUUUUAGUCUUAAUUGAAUAUUCUUUGGUUUUUUCAUAUUGUGGCCAUCCUAGUUCUUUUCAAUCUCAUAACUAUUUCUUCUAUAUUUGUUUGUUUUAUUUUUUAUUUUUAAUGUUACAUAAAUAUAUUGUCCUCUAGACUUUGUUUAAGUAAAACAUCCUUGAUAAUAGUAUGUACAACAUACUAUUAAAAAAAAAUAGAUACAGUAAAAAUAUGAAUAAUUUUUUUCAUAUAUAUAUUCAUGUAAAAAUUCUUGAAACAAAAAUGUAUAUUGAAAAAUCCAUAUAUGCCAUGUUCUUUUCAAUCUGAUAUCUUGAUAAGGCAUCAUAAAAGUCAUUCAUUCAUUUUCAAAGAUGGUCUAUUGUGAGAUUGAGUAUCAAAACCUUAGACCUUUCUUUUACAAAUACUUUCUUGACAACAUUGUUGAGAUUAAUAAAAUUAAUAAACAUAGUUACAAAAUUGGUGGUUUGAUUAGUCUUGUAACAAAAUUAAAAUACCUAUGCAUUAAAAUAAAAUAAAAAUAAGUUUAAUAUUAAACUCUUAUAUAUAUUUAAAUAAAUAAAUAAUAUAAAUAUUUAAUAAAAUAUUAAACUCUUAUAUUUUAAAUUUAUUUAUAUUUAAUAUAAGAGUUUAAUAAUAAAUAAUGAAUAAAUAAAUAUUUAAUAAAUGAAUUUAUUGCUCCCCAUGUAAGGAUGCAUUCCUGGACUAGAAUUCAAAGUCUUUGAUCUACGUAAUGGAGCAUUCCUACUCUGCACCUCAAUGUUGUCAACCGGAAGCGGGGGGGGGGGGGGGAAACCCCUUUCGGUUCUAAAUAACAAUUACGAUAACAAGAGUGUCAUUCUUAAUAAUGAUCAGGUGCUUGGUCUCUGUCGAUGGUGUCUGUUGGGUGGAAUUGAGUCAAAACAUGUUAACGUGGUCUGCCGCACAUCCAGUUCCAGGGAAACCAACAGUCAGUUGAGCUGUUACUUUUCAAGUGUGUGCAAAUGCCGAGCAUGAGUUAACGUUAUGUCUCUUGGGGACUACGACGCGCAACUCGCACCUGGCGGUGAUGUGCGGGAGUAGAAUGCGUGCGCAACGCUGCUGCUGCUGCUGGCUGGGAAGAAACGGAAAGAGCAAGGAAGGAAGGAAACCCCAAAGGCGGCAUCGUAAGCUCUCGGGGGUUUCAAACAAGGGCCUGGUAGCAUACGGACUGCCUGCAGGCGCCGCGUUUAUGCACAAAGAUCAGGAUUUGCAGGAAAUAAUAUCUCGGGUUUAUUAAAUCCUGGCAACCAAGGAAGGACCCAACAGUCAGCUCCAACGUCUCUCUUUGCUACUGGUCGAUUACCUUCGCAGUUUUCCCCAAUUCGCAUGAGUCAUGAUGCCCAGUUCUUCCCCCAGUUCGUCCUGGGCUGUCUCAUGCACCCUGUGAAGCUUAUAAACGCUGCUCCUCCCACUGCCCUUGUGUACAUCACUCCCUCGAUUCCUGACCGUGGCCCACUCAGUUUUCACUACCUGGUCGCACUCUAGUUCUAAAUUUAGCCGGUUCGGUAGGGUUGUUUGCGGGCCCCAAUUUUGGCUUUUUCUGAUUAUGCACUGCAUCAUUAGUGUCCAUGGUCAAGUGAAGUGAGCGUAACUGGGUCGUGUUUAUUAACGCUUCUUGGGAGAGACAGUCUGCUAUUGAUUUGAUUAGUUGUGCAUGACGCAGUGCUUGAUAUUUCUCCUUUCUUGAGUUUGUGUGGCGAGAGUUUUCCAGUUUCUGAGGUUUUUGCUUCCUUCCCGUGAUAGCUUCAACUCCUCCAUUGUCUUUCAAGAGUCAGUCCGUGUUUCUGGAAGAGGGCGGGUAUUAUCUCGUAGGGAAGUGCAGAGUUGCUAGAGCUUGAACUCUAGGGGAGUCAUUCCCAUGGACUCAUCCAUGAACGAGUACGAGUCGCGGAAAUGUUGGUGUGGAGUCCAUGCCUACCGGUUGAUCAUCAUUGGAGCCUUGUGCUUUUUACUUAGCGGCUUGGUUGCUGGUACCAGUAAGUUGUUCUGCUCCUCUCAUGUUUGAAAAUUUGGUGUGUUGUAGUUGAGGUCGAUCGGAAAAUCUUUUAAACUCACGGCAGAUAAGAGACUUUCCUGAAAUCUUUAUCCUCUUCUUAAUCUCGCUUGUCUCUGAGGUCUGUACUCCUUGGUCGUAGGUGCGAAAACAUGUUUGAUUUUGAUUUUGAUUUGAUUUUUUUGAUACACUUAUCCCCUCGAUUUUGUAACUAUGGGGUAUGUCUUGCCUCUGCGUCCACUUCUUGGCUGCGAGGAAUUGCCUUUGAAUUGAAGUGGAUUACUUUUAGAUUAUAGCGGCGCGUGUCAGUUAAUGGAGGCACAGUGCUGUAUUGUUCUGUCUCCAACUUACCCUACUCCUUGUGCAUCGGGAAUGCUUUUGGAUUGAUACAAUGAAUUUGUCCGUCUGGAUACUCCGCGAAUGUUGAUUCCUAAUUCCAGGUAUGGUCGAUAAUGCCUGUAGUUAAGAGCGGCGCGUGUCAAUUAAUGGCGGCACAGAGGUGAAGACCAGUCUCCAUUUCACCCAAAAUAAUUGUGUAUCGCUAGUGCAGUUGGUUUGGUGUAAUGGUUGUGCCCAUCUGGAUGCUCUGGAAAUGCCCGUUCCGUGGUCUAGAUAAUGUAGAUGUCACCUGUAGUUUAGAACGGCGCGUGUCAGGUAAUGGUGGUACUGUGCCGUUGUUCAGUCUCUUUGCUAUUGACAGCUUAUGCAUCGGUAAAGUUACUGGAUCAAUAUCAUGAUUGUGCUCGUCUGGAUGCUCUGCGUAUGCUCAUUCUCGUAAUCCAGAUUAUGCUGAAGCAAAUUGAUGAUUUCUUGCAGAUGCCGCAACAAUCGGAAUUGGCUAUGGUACGAGUGGAGACAACCUUCCGCCAACCGAGCAAGUGGUGCAGUUCCUCAAAACUCUCAAUGUCACUAAAGUGAAAAUUUACAACACGGAUGCGAACGUUAUACGAGCAUUUGCGAACUCAGGAAUGGACCUCUCCAUCACAGUGCCGAAUGGAGACAUUAUUCAUAUGGCAACAGACAUGACGUUCACUCAGAACUGGGUCAUCUAUAACUUACAACCUUUUGUUCCUGCUACAACCAUCACCACCAUUGCUGUCGGGAAUGAGAUCCUUACCAGUGACACAGCUGAUACAGAUAACCUCGUACCUGCAAUGGUGAAUCUUCAUUCGGCACUCGUAACAGCCGGUCUUGGCGACAUCAAAGUCUCAACUCCGCACGCGUUCAGCGUGUUGAACGUAUCGUUUCCACCCUCUGCAAGCGUUUUCCGCCCUUCAUUUGCAGCCUCGGUAAUGAAACCUCUACUGGACUUCCUGAACCAGACAGGCUCCCCGUUCAUGGUAAACAUAUUCCCUUUUUUCAGCUACAUGUUCAACUACAACACCAUCAACCUUGACUACGCCCUGCUGAACCCUAACGCACCGCCUGUCAACGACCCCGGGAACGGCAAGAUAUACACAAAUCUUUGGGAUGCUCAGAUCGAUGCUAUCAUCUCUGCCAUGGCAUCCUUGGGGCACCCCAGCAUACCAAUCGUGGUGACGGAGUCUGGAUGGCCUUCAGUUGGUGAUGUUACUCAGGUGGGUCCCAGCGUAGCAAACGCUCAAACCUACAAUAACAAUCUGGUGAAGCUUGUGCUUGCAGAUCCGCCCAAGGGCACUCCUCUGAGACCUGGAGUUGCAACUCCAACCUACAUUUUCUCCCUCUUUAAUGAGAAUCUUAAGACUGGCAAGAUUACGGAGAAGAAUUGGGGUCUGUUCCACCCCGACAUGUCGCCCGUCUACACUGCCAGCUUGUCGACAUAAGCUGUGCCAGGCUUCUUCAGGUGAGCCCAGCUAUAUUUUUCCUACACAAGUAUUGCAUCGAAGGAGUCAAGAUUUUCGGUGAAGAUCAGCCUUCAGAUAUUGCACAACUUGUGCAAGCAGUGAUGAGUUAACGAUGUCGUCUAGUCUAGACUUAAUGCGCAGUCCUUUAUUUUGCAAUUUUUUGUGUCUUAACGAGUGUUGGUUUGUUACCAUCUCAUCGUCUAUUAGUAACAUAAUUUGUGCGACCAGCAUAUGCUCAACACAGUUGAGCUGCUGAGGAGAAGGCCUGAUAUCAUUUUCCACCUGUGGGGUAUCCACUGGGUAGUUAGAAUGCCAAGCUUGUUUUGUUUUGUUCUGGGCAACCCCAAGAGUAGCAGGAUCGUUAUAACAGGAUAUGACACCGUCAGCAACUGGAUUGCAUUGACUGAGACCUGUAGAUAUAGUUGUCUAUAAUGUGGCUUCAGUUGUGUCAACCCAUGAUUUGAUUCGACAUGAUGAGAAAUUGAGCAAGUGCACUACUCAAUUGUUAUUUCUUUUUUCAUUUAUAUAUAUAUAUAUAUAUUGCGCUGUUGAUCCAGCCCAAAACUAUUCUGUUUUCUCUGCCUUAGUGGAAAUAAUUUUAUGCGUGGUGCAGUCUCUACGAUCGGAUAAUUAAACUAGAUCUGCAAUCUAAGCAUACAUACUAACUUAAUAAUGAUGAUGAUUAGAGAAUAAUAGUAAAGAAACAGUAAAAUUCUGUACAAAUACAUCUCAUGUAUAACGUAUACUGCCAAUGCCACCACAAUUUAUGUGACUGUUACCACAAUCUGCCACGCGCCGAACAUAUAUCUUGACAUAUCUUAUUUUCUUAUUCUUUUUUGUAACUAAAUUUUUUAAAAUCAUUCAAAUGGUUUGGAAGGUACAGAGAGAACAUGGUAUGUGGUGGGAGGAUAUGUUGACGGUACGAAAAAAUUAUAAUCUCAUUAGAAACAUUCUAUAUAAAAAUACACGUACACAGAUAAUUUAGAGUUAUUUUACUCAUUUUCAAAACAAUUUCGACACUGUCAAACAUUUUUUAGGCCAGGAAGGGCAGAAGUCGCAGACGUAUAGAUGAGACCGACCUGUCAACGGGUAGAUGGGCAGGGCACUCGCCAAAAGAGGGGCUCUGAGCAGAGAGCAGUCGUAGGUCCUAUCCGCGGUGUCUUCUCCCUACCUUCGACGGCCCACUCGCUGCCCUCUGCGCCCUCUCUCGCACCCUGUCUCGUUUCCGCUUCUCGCGAGCAGCUCGGCGACAUUCCCCGAUUGGUCGGACAAUUUGUCCACUUCGUUACAAACACAGAUUCACUGCGUGCAUUCUCGAACGUUCCACCAUUAUGAGUCGAUGCCUGGAGGAAUUCUUUUUUUGGCAUGUGUGGCGAGAGAGUGCGAGUGAACAAGACAGAAUUCAGUUCGUGAGUCUGUAUUUUAGUGCGUAGUAGCAGAGGAGGUGAGGAGAGCGUGCUUUUCUGUUUGCAGCGCUUGAGUUUUAUUUGACUCAAGAGGAUCUCGACUCGGUGUUUUGAAGGAGUGUUGGAGCGAUCUUCGGGGAUGUGAAGCGGAAGGGUUUUGUUGGUUGGGAGAAUCGGGCAAUGCUGUUGAACUUGUAGAGAAAGGCGAAUCUUGGGGUUUCGUCAGUGCUAUGUUUUGUAGUUCUUCCGAGAAGACUAGUUGUCGAUGUGGCUCAAGCUUAGAUUUGAGGGAUGAUCAUUAUAGACCCAGCCAAGAUUCAUCGAGUUUUUGUCGAACCUAGGGUUGAUCUUGUCCUUAGUUCUAUGGAUUUCAAUUUCAGGAUUUCUUGACGAAUGACUGCGAACGCGGAAGGCUGUGUACGAGAAAGCUAAUUUUUCAUUUUAGGUGGUGAAGAGCAACAAUCGGGGUGAAGCUAUUGAAGAAGUGUGAAGGAAAGGACCUGUCUCCCUCGAUCAAGGUUAACGAAACUGAGUAUGCUAUGAAUUCGAAGACAGAGAUAGCACAUCAGAAGUACAGGGCGUCAGAGUAUGUCGAGGCACUUAAAUUGUACACAGAGGCUCUGAAUGCAGCGACUCUACUGAAUCACCAAGUCGCUCUUCAUAGCAAUCGUGCAGCAUGUCACCUCAAACUUCAGCAGUACAAGCUGGCAGCGGAGGAAUGCAGUGCAGUGCUGGAGCUUGAUGUCAAGCACGCGGGAGCGCUGAUGCUGCGAGCCCAGACCUUUGUGGCAAUGAAAGAUAAUCACUCCGCCCUGUUUGACGUAAACCGAUUGCUCGAAACUAAUCCCAAUUCUGAAGUUUACCGUAAUUUGCGAGAGCGACUGCGGACGCAUAUAGCCUUGAGUCCUAUUCCAGAAGGAGACCAUGAGACUCCUCCAGACUCACCCACUCACCAACCAAUGCAAAGUAAGUUGCCUGUUCUUGCAGGUCCUCCGAAGCCGGAGGGUUGGGCUGCAAUUCCCAAGCCGAAGGGACAUACUGGCGUAGAUUACUCUCGCUUUGCCAACUUAGGAGACGACAUCAGCAGUGACGAAGAGGAAGAGGAGGAGCAGCCUCAAUACCGAUACCGACUUGGUAAAGUCGGUUUGAGCAACUUCCGAACUGUGUAAGAUAGCCACCAGUUUACACUCGAGACUUUCUUAAAGUUAGUGUUCUUCAACCAUUUUACAAACCUGAGAUUCAUAUGUAAAGUUACACAGUUCAACUGAGUUUCAAAGAUCGCUUAAGAUUUUGUACCGUCAAUGGGACUUUAAAUCAUGAAAAGAAGUAGCUCACUUCAUUGCCGAAGGUGUCAGUUGAACUUCUGCGCUUUUGUUUGAGGAUUCUUGUCCAUUCCCUUGUCUUUAUUCUUAGAACAGUUAGUUUUAACGCUUCACAACGCUCUGCUAAUGUUGAAUUUUUAAUUGGAUUCUAUUCACAUUCUUAGCAUGAAACCUAACAAAGAUGCUUCAGUUCAAGCACAUCUAAACCGAUGAUUACUUGGGUAUUCUCUCGUGACAUUGGCAUUGCAAGAAAUUGUCUACUUGAGGCGAACCUUGAGCAAGAGUUUUAUGGAUGGAUUUUUGGAGUUGCUAACAUGCUUGAUCUUUCAGAUAUUCUUGCCUAGGUUCAACAGCUUGGGAUCCGAAGUUCCAUUAGUUAGGUUCCUUGCCAUAUUAUAUUUAUCACUUCAAUUUAUUUUUAAAAUCACUUUGCAUCUAUUAGAAACUAACCAAAAACUAAAAAGUAACCUCAAAAUUCUAUUUAUGCAAGAUUCUACUUGAUUAUGUUCUAGUUUUUUAAUUACUGAAGAAAAAAGGCCAUAAAUGAGGAAGCCAAGGUUUGUUUGCAUCAAUAUUGCCACUCAACUACUAUCUGCACAACAAACACAUUGGUUACAACAUCAGCACCUUAGAACAAAUCUCGAACAGAGAAACAUUUUUCACCAGAAAAACUAACUUCCUUCAUUGGGAGAACAAAAUUACAACAGUGUCGUGGCUGCAGCACUUGGAACAGGUCGGGGACCCAGUUCCGUAGCUAUAUUAUCCACUUUCCACGGCAAUAGAGGCGAGUUGGUGGUGGGCCAGCAGCGGGGUUCGAACCCGGGGCGCGAUCAUGGGGUCCCCUUCCAACUCCAGCUUCCCAUUCCCACUAAGUCCCCGGAGGAGGAACCAGGGCCGCACACAACCAGCAACGAAUUGUCGAGAGAUUGUGCAGCUAUGGCGCUGCUCUACUCUGUUGUUGCAUCUGCUGCUACCACUCUAACUGCGGCCGCGUCGAGCAUUGCGCGCCCGAGUUCGGCUCGGAGACAUGGCGAGUUGCGUUUCUGCGCGCCUGGAGCUGGUCGAAUUGUGAAGGUGCCGGCCGGGAAAUGUAGUGCUGUGGCGCAGGCCGGGACGGCUGGGGAGUCUAGCGCUACGGUUGGUGCGGAGCGGCCCUUGUGGUUGCCAGGAACUACUCCCCCAGCUCACCUCGAUGGAACGUAAGUUUUAGAUUCCUGAACCCUCUAGCCUUUCAGGUGAUGUAUUAGAGCCCCGAGGCUCGGAUUGUUUGGUUUUUUCUCAUCUAGUCACUUUUGCUUUUCGUGCUCUGCUACUGAUUCUGCGCAAUGCGGUGUUCCGAGAAUCUUUUUAUUAAGAAUUCUUGGAAGGAUGCCAUUUAGACGUCGCAUUGUGCAAUUAGUUGGAUGUGAGGGAUCUGGCGUCAUUGUUGUGUAUGGUUGUUCAGUUGUCUCAAUGCGUGACCUUAAUCGUACUGUGAUAGCCACACCUCAGUCGCAUGAUAUGAUUCUUGCAUGAUGCUAAUCGUGCGAAUCGUGCAUCUUUGUCUGUGUCUGUUUUAACCUCUCAAUGUCAAAUGAGAGGUUAAAAGCAGUCUUUCAGGAAGCUCUAAUGCUCUUGAGUCGUUCACCUUGUUUCAUGAGUCCCAUUCUCCAGCAAGAAAAUAAGCUCUCUUAGAACCUAAGGAUCCUACUAUUCCAACUGUGCAAUGGAAACUUAUUGCUCAGUAUUUUGGCCAAGCAUGGUAACCAAGUAAAUUUACCUUGAACGAACGAAUGUGUUGGUGCGCAGAUUGGCAGGUGACUUUGGAUUUGAUCCUUUGGGACUUGGGCAAGACCCACAGGACUUGCGAUGGUACGUGCAGGCUGAGCUUGUACACUCUCGCUUUGCCAUGGCGGGUGUUGCCGGCAUCCUUUUUACUGAUGUACGUCUCCCUCCUGAAUUUCAUGUCCCUAAAUUGAACAUUCAAUCCUUGAGUCGUGAGUUUUACUAGUGUUUAUUUAAAUGGAAAACGUGUUUUGUCAAAUUAGUGGCAUUAGUCUCGAUUUCGGAGACGUGUUAGGAUUUCAAUGAAGGUUUGCUAAUUAAUUGUCUAUAAUGUUGGCCUAGCAUCAAAUUUAUGCCGAGUGAUUGUGAGCAGAUUCCCUCUUGCGUAACCUAUGUUGCAUCUCAAAUCGCCGUUAUGGUAUUGUGGUUCUACCCAUUGUUGGCUGUAUUUUUACAAAACCAUUUUCUGUACAGCUUCUGCGCGCCUCUGGACGCACUGAUAUUCCAGUAUGGUUUGAGGCGGGCGCCACUAAAUUUGACUUCGCAGACACCACAACGCUUUUCGUAGUGCAACUUAUUCUGAUGGGGUAACACUCAGACCUGUGCGAUGUUUUCUCCAGAUGAAUUUCAGUUUAUUUAAGUUUUAAACUAAGGUUUCUCUCAUUGCAAUAAGAGCUUGAUCGUCCAUUGAUUGUCCAACUCUAUGUUAUGACAUAAUCUUUCCAUGUGGGUUCUUUGAAUAUAUUUGACUGCGUUUACGGACAAGCGCUGGAGUCUUUAGCGGUGAAUAGGUUUCUGAUCCCUUGUUAUCUGUCCUUCAGGUUUGUAGAGACAAAAAGAUGGAUGGAUAUCGUUAAACCUGGUUCUCAGGCAGCAGAAGACUCCUUUUUUGGUUUCGAGGCUGCCUUUGAAGGUUUAGAGACUGGGUGAGAACGCGUGGGGAUGCAAUUGAAAUCUACAAUUUCGAUUGAUCCAGUCUUGUGAGGCUUAUGCAGAACUAAUUACUGCACCGUGCUUGAAGUGGCUGCUCAUUAUGAAUUUUUCUUGGACAUGUAUAAUGUGGAAGUGGAGCCACUGUUUCAUCGUUCUGUUCUUUGCAGGUACCCUGGCGGUCCACUUUUCAAUCCUUUGGGCUUCGCUAACGACCCUACCAAGCCUCAACCCUUGCGGUGGAAAGAGAUUAAGAAUGGUAAGUAGUCAGCAUUGUCUGCUGCCAGAAAGAGGAUCCAGAGCUUAAGUUUUCGUUGUCAGAUGGCUGUUGCUAACAUGUCUCCUAGUCCCAUGAUGUGAAGAUUUUGUGUAGCAUUAGAUAGCAUAGUCCGCAGUUGAUUGGGUGCAAAUUAUUAACUCUACAUGUCUUCACUGAUGUGCAGGCCGACUUGCCAUGGUAGCGAUGGUGGGAUUUAUGGUUCAAGCUUAUGUUACAAAAACAGGCCCCAUAGAAAACCUCUUGACUCAUCUCUCUGACCCGGUGCAUAAUACAAUCAUUCAGAGGAUAGCAAAUUAAUGAUUAACGAUUACUAGUAUAGUUUCAAACUCAUUUAGGUCGUCCACACUGCACAAUUCACAGUUCAAGGAGAGCAAUCCAGUGCGGUCAAGCCCUUAAUCUUGCUAAUAGUAGACAGCUGCUCUCUUUGAAACAAAUGGGGCAAAAUUUAGGAAAGUUUCAGGCCUUUUUCGUCUGCCUAGCAUUUACCGAAAAUCUGCAGAAAUAUCAAGAGUCGCUAUGGUUGACAAUCUAGGUACUAUUUAUUUAUUUAUUUUAUUUAUUUAUUUUAUUUUGAGGAAGAAUCUGCUAGCAUUUGGUGCCAUCCAUGAUGAAUUAUAAUUAACCAGAUGCUACAGUUUACGGGUUAGUUGUAGCAAUCUUUUUCUUCUAGGUCCACCCAAAGCUUUGCUGGGAAGAUAUCAGGUGAAGGUACUACUUUUGUGGAUAAACGAAGUGUGUAGCAUGUGAAAUCACCGGAUGAUGGAGCGCAGGGAUUUUGUUGGUAUCUGCCUCUUUUAUCUCCACUUUCCUGUUUUUCAUUCCUUUCUUCUGUACCUAAAGAAAAAUUCAGAUUGGGCAUCGUUUGUAAUCGCUGAAGAUAUAGGUUUUGCAGUUUUCGUGGAUUUGGGUGAAACUCAUGAUUUGUUUUCCAAUUGGAGAGUUUUUGUUUCAUAAUCUAAGUUCACUUCUUAGAUAUAAAAAUGGCUGUUCCACCGUGAAGUGUACACGUGCGCUUAUGCUGAGGUAUGGUUUUUGUGUCGUAACCCACAUUCACUACUGUCAUCAUUACUUUUAAACUUAUGGGAUGUUGUGAAAUUGUGUAUAUAUUGUAUCGUUGCAAUCACGGAUAACUUUCUUACUGUCCCACUGAUUUAUGUACAAACAUAAAACUACAAAGUACUAUAAUUAGUAACAAAUAUGGAAAAUGUCAAAAACUUUUACUGUGAAGGGCUUACAUAUACUAUUGGCUACAAAUACAUACAUCUUGGAUAAAUUGGAAAAUAAUACAUCUGGGAAUAAUGAAAAUUCAGGGUGCCAACGUGCAGAAGCAUAAAACUAUAAAUGGUACAUUAUGUACUAAUCUAACAGUAAAUAAACAGUAUAAUUUAACCAAUGCUAUUGGGACAGACAAAUAAUAAGAUGAAAGAAAUAACAUUAUUGUGGUUAAAAUGUAUAGAUAAAUAGGUGUGGUUAGAAAUGUAUUUUUAAAUUUAGUGAAACAGAUAUAGAUUGUGUCACAUAAAAAAUUCAUAUUUCAAUGUUUCGUUUAGUUCCAAAAUAGGGUCACUUUAAAUUUGAGUUACAAUUACAACGGCAGAUCCUUCUGUCAACAGAUAACUAAGACCACUUCACAGUAGGUGACGAACUAAGAGGGUGCAAAACAUCAUAGCUACAUACCUCGGCGUUGUGGUCGCAAGAUAAGAAUAGACGUCGAAAGCAUGGGCUACAAGCAUAAACUACAGAAACUCCCUUCUCCCCUAUCGAAUGUCAAUCAAAAGGCACUUGUAGAGAAUGUCAUGAGAACUGCUCAAAUCGAAACAAGCUGGAAUUUCACAUUAAAAUCGAUAAGGACAACAUAACAGAAAUCCUAAUCCAGUGAUAUUCCUGCCUUGAGCGAUCAGCUUGAAGCAGGUGUUGUCUAUGCAACAAUCAAUCGAUGUUUGCCGCUUACCACGAAGCUGGUCUCACGCACUUAUGGCAACCAGCCAGGAAACCCGCCUAUUAAUGUUACUACCGCAUCUUAACAAUUAAUUCCAGCUCUAUCUCAAGGGAAGCAUCACUAAAUCCAAUCAAGAACUUCACCUGCAGAAUAUCACAGCUGACUAAUUACCUGUUCUCCCUUUCCAUGCCUAUCAAUGCAAAAACCCUUUCUAUGAAGGACCCAAUUGCAAAACCAGCACAACCCAAUACUAGAGUUGGAAGGACCUCUCUGGUCCAUCCACCCACAUCCAGAAAAUUUAGACGUAAUAUUCCUGAUGAGUCUUCUGAAAGUUUGUUGAUAAAGUCUGGAGUGAGCUCUCAAGGGAUUCUACGGACCUGAAUGGAUUGCAUGAAAUCGGAAGUGGAGAUGUCAGAGACGGCGACUAUGAGGUCGCCCUUCUUCAUCAUGCCACGCGCUUUCAGAAGCGCAAACGUCCUCCGAAGGUUGCUCUCCAUAUCCCCGGAGAAGUCCAGCCGGAAGGGAAUCAAUCCCCAUUGCAGGUUCAGCCGUUGCCGCAUGGACUUCGUGUCGGUGAAAGCGAAGAUGGGACAAUCAGGCCUGGCCCUUGACAAAAGAGACGCCAUGUAACCGCGUCGGGUGUACACGAAGAUGGCGUCGGCUCCCAGUCUGUUGGCUGCAUUCGGUGACACCAAAGCUCAACAAACGACCUCGAGUCCUCGGCGGGGAAGGCAUGAAAAUACGAGUAAUUUUGUGAGGAUGCGUCGCUUACCCAUCUGAGCAGCAGAGCUGCAGAUGCUCUCUGAGAUACGAUCAUUGAGAGCUGAUGAGAGCUCUGGAAGUCGAUCGGAUGCGUGCUGUUUGUUCUCACGACACCACUCCUCCAUACGAAGACUUACAGUCCGCAGCACGCUGAGCGCCUUCUCUGGAAACAGGCCCAUGGCAGACUCUCCAGACAGCAUCAAAGCGUCAGCUCGCUGUCUCACAGCCUCUGAUACAUCUGCCACCUGCAGCACAGUGCUUGCAAAAAAUUCAGAAUGAAACAUUUCAAGCGAACUAGAAUACUAACGAACAUUUGAAAAGCUUAUAUUGAAUAGAAAGCAGAACACGGUGUUCUUACUUCCGCUCGCGUAGGUGUGGGGUAUUCGAUCAUGGACUCCAAGAGCUGUGACGCUACAAUAACUGGCUUGUUAAGCUCCCGGCAUAGAUUCACAAUUCCCUGCUGAACAGACGGCACUUGUUCUAAUGGAAUUUGGGCACCUAAAUCACCUCGAGCCACCAUAGCCCCAUCAGAGACACGAAUAAUGUCCUCUACGUUCUUCAAAGAGUCACUGCUUUCAAUUUUGGCGAACACUCCAAUUGAACUGUUGAGGGAUUCAUAAACAUCAAAGAGUGAGCAUGCGGACAAAAGGAGUGCGAAGGAAAGUCACCAAAAAUGAGCUAGUUGCCUACAAAAAGCAGUCAAUUACUCAUACUCGUUAGGUGCUCUUGCAUUAAUGUAGCUCUUCAAAUGCUUGAUGACUUCAGAUGUCUUAACAAAGGAGACGGCAAUAAAAUCAACCCCUUCUGCAAUUCCGAAGUCGAUGUCAAUCCAGUCCUGCAAAAAUUACAGAAAUCCGCCAUUUCAGAGACGGCCAGAGCGUAAUCUACUUCAAGUUCAUUUACAAGCUCAAGAAACCUAAAUCUCUCCAGUAGGACCCAAAAUAGGAAAACAUUCGUGAAUUAUCAGGAGCAUGAAUCAGGAGCAAGGAAUGAUGGAGUUUGAAAAGAUCCAAAUUGCAGCGUUUAAGAUUUUUGGUUUAGGAUCCAGCUCACCUUAGAUGAAAUAGUGGGAAGCAUUGCAUUGAGAUCACGCACCAGCCGCCCUUCCCUCCACAUAGUCAGAUUUGCACGAGGAAGCAGGAGUCCAGGAUCAGUGCACUUGCACUUGACAUCAGGACCGAUCUUCUCGAUCACUUCAAAUCGCACCAUCCCUCCGUCUACGAGCAAUUCAUCCCCAACCCUGACAUCUGCCAAGAAGCAUCGAUGAUCACAACAAUGAUUAGGUGCAUACAGGAUAGCAAGACAAAAGCAUGCGAAGGAUCCUAUACUCAACAAUAUCGUGUAGAGUUCCAAGUUGCAGCCAUCUCUGUCUCAUUCGAAUGAUUGAGAAGAGGGCAAAUUGUACACAAUGCCAGGAUACCUUCAGCAAACCCGUCGUAGUUGACAGUAGUAGUGCGCUCUGGAAGGCUCUCCAGUGUGCGGACAGUGAAGAUCCAUUCUUGACCAUCCUGAUCGACAGACAUAGAAACAAUAAAAACGCACACCAUAGUGUAAGAAACUAAAGAAAACUCUGCGCACAAACAGGAAACCUCCAACCUCGAAGUUUCGGUUAAGGAGGAAUAUCUUCAAACUUAUGCUUUGAUCCCUCGAUCCCCUGUAUUCUCGCAGAGCAUAAAAGGGAACAGACAAGGUUUCGAAACGAACUUCGCAACAAUUCCAUUCACGAGCAGAAUUCCCUAAUCACCAACCGUGUUAACUUCGUCAUUGAGUGCGGCGGCAGAAACCCUUGACUCGAAACAACAUAAAGAGUUCUUUGAAGAUUCCCAGGUUUCACAACUAGAUUAAAGCUUUUGCAUCACUUGAUGAGGUCAACAAGAAAAUUGCAAGCAUUACGAACUUCGCGAUGAAUCUUGAUUGAAGUUAACAUUAGCGAGGACCUUCUCAGCAGAAGACUUCUCAAAUCUUUGAGCGCGACGAGUAAAAUCCUACUACAAUCACGCACCUCGGCCUUGACGGACGGGGCGCCAUUGAAGUCCCCCAUGUGGAUUUCGCUACCUUCGGUAUCCAUCAUGAUAGCCACAGAGUAGCCUUUCUCGGAAUUCAAACUGCGCACAUUGCGAAUUACUUGCUUGUGCCAAUCCCGGGUGCCAUGGCACAUGUUCAGGCGGGCCACAUUCAUACCCCCCAUCGCCAACGCCUCCAGCUGCUCCGGCGCGCAUGUGGCAGGGCCAAUGGUGCACACCAGCUUCGUCCUCCUCGUGCUCCGGAACCCGUUCUCCUUCAAUUCAGCUUCCGUCACAGCAUCCACCUCCAUGGACGGGACCUGCGCUUCCCCCACCGCGCCAUGCUUCGCCGACGGCACUCCAUUCACCUUCGAAUCCGCGACGCCCUUCUUCUCCACGCCCAACGCCGCCUCGAUUGUCACGCUCGACACCGCGACCUCCCUCUGCACCUUCACGGAGCCCCCUCUCCCCCCCUCCCUCCUCCUCAGGUUCUCCCUCCUCACGGUCGUCAGAGGCGACGAUAGCACCGGCGCGCCACCACGGAACGAAACAGACGAGAUCCUGGCCCCGGAUGAAGCCAAUCCAGCGAAGUUUCCACCACUCACACCGAACGCGACUGAACACGACUGCAGCGCUCCUUGCGCCAUCGCCAUUGCCACAAACACACACCUGAUCCCUGCGCUGGUCCGCUUCACUCCCUCGACUACUCCUCCAACAACAACAACAACAACGUCGCAAAACCCAGAACCAGCGAUGGGUCUGAACGCGGCCGAGCGCAACGCAGCGCAACGAAACCACGGCAGUGGAGGCUGCUGCUAGGUUCCCGCGCGCGUGCGAAAGGUCGACGAUGCGGGGGCUUUGGCCGGAGGGCAAGAGUUUGGACGCAGCGACCACUCCCCGUUCAUUCAUCAGUAGCUAUGUUCAUCUGUUUUGGAUGAAUUAUUCCAUCCGUCGACCACGGAAGAACGACCUUUUUAUCCUUCUGUUCUGGACCACAGGUCAAGACAUCAUACUCACGUUUUUAUAAAAUUGGGAAAGGAUAACAGAAGGAUAAAAUCAAGGUCUAUAAUUUCAGCUAUUCUUUAAAUUAUGACCUAGAUCUAUAGUUUAUCUUUUGUAAACUAAAAUAUAUGUGUGUAUUGAGUACACAUCUUAAAUUUUACUUCAUAUUUUAUGUUAGAUUUAAAGGUAUUAAAAUUUUAGUACAAUAAGUUACUUGUUGAUAGCUUGAGGGAUUAGAAGAGUCUCAAGCUUGUAUAAAGCUCUAUCAACUGGAUUGAGCUGCAAAUUAGUCUAUCAAUAAAUGGCUUAAAGAAAAAGACUUUUAACAAAUUUGACUACAAACUGUCACGGACACAGAAAUACAGACUCAAGAUCUAACAAGAAGUUCAAGAAGAACUGGUAAGAACUAGAUUAAUCAGAUGAAUACAAGAACAACACCAAAGAGGUGAGCUAGAGCUCUAAGGGAUGUGUUGUCAAGACUGAAAAACUCUUCAGCCUCGAUUCCAAUAUAUACUCAUGUUUAGGAAGCUUCUAAAGCAACUUCUAUCAACUAGGAAGCUUCUAGAAGGUUCCAGAGACUUGUUUCUAGAAGGUUCUAGAAACUUAUCUCUAGAAGGUUCUAAGGACUAUGUCCCUAACAUCUUCUACCAACUAAGAAGCUUCUAGAAGGUUUCAAAGACUUGCUUCUAGAAGGUUCUAGAAACUUGUCUCUAGAAGGUUCUAAGAACUAUGUCCCUAACAUCACCCCCUCUUUUAGCUUCGAGGUCUCUGAGAAGCAAUGUUGUUAUUAAUCAGUACCAACACAAGAAAAUGAAGAUCUGUCGCAUAACGUCUGUUAUGAACUCCAACUGUUGUUCACGAGGCAAGUAGUUCAUCGACCCUUGAAGCCAACGGUAGUGGCCCACUCCUUCAACUUUUGACCAAGUAUGAACUUCUGUGUCUUCAUUGUGAAAUUGUCUUGCAAACACGCCUUCUGGCUGACCAUCGUAAUCAGGCUCGGACUCAAAUACAAUCACCAGUGAUCAGUUACUCGGUAUCCUCCCUCGUCGUCGUGGUGUAGGCGGUUCUUCAUCUUGGGGUCGCCUUCGUGAGCUAGUCGAUUGAGAUAAUCUGACUGGCAUAGUAUCUAUCUCUUGGCUAUCCAUAUCAAAAGACCAAACUAUGGCUACUGAAAAAAUUCUAUUUUAUCUUGGAAAAAAUAACUACAUCAACUACGAAUUUUGGUGGUGCUCUCUCCCUUUCUUAUAUUCUCGGGUGAGCAAGCUUCAAAAGGAAGCUAUCGUCAAACCGGCUUAGGUUUAUGAAGAUGUUGUUGAUAAAACUCUUGUACCUUUUGUGACGAAUUGGCGAGAUUUUCAGCUGGCUCCCACGUUCACUCAUUAAUGUCGUAGCCGCACCAAUGAACAAGAUACUCCAACUUGCCCCACCUUCGCUGUGAAUCCAGCACCUUUUCAACCUCGUAUUCCUUGUGGUUCUCGAUCUCAAUACUAGGUGGUAGACAUUGCACUCUUCCAGGAAAAGACGACUCUCAAUAAGGCUCCAAUAGAGAAAUAUGAAAGACUAGAUGUACCUUCAUAGAAGCCGGUAAUUCCAGACGGUAUCCCCACUAGAUUGAUUUGCUUCUAGAUGAUAAAUGGUCCCAAUCUUUGAUAGUCCAAUUUAUCACAUGGUCGCUUGGUCUUAAUAUUCUGUCGAAGAAGCCAUGCUUUAUCUCCAAUUUUGAAAGUAGGUGCUUGAUUCCGAAAUCUAUCUGCAGACGCCUUGUAGGAUUCUUGAGCGGAUUGUAAUUGAAGCUUCAACGUAUUUUGAAGCUCUGAUAGUUGUUUUGCAUAUCCUUCAGCUGCUGGAUUGUUAUUUGUUGACGGAUUCAAUAAAUCAAGCUUCGGAUGAUACCCGUAGUUGGAAAAGAAUGGUGUGUAUUGAGUCGACGCAUGGAGGGUGUUGUUAUAUGCAAACUUGACUAGCGACAGAUAUGUGGUCCAAUCGUCUUGCUGAUAGUUGAUGCUGUAUUGUAAGUAUUGUUCUAAGACUUAGUUCACCCGUUCUGUUUGGCGAUCAAUUUGAGGAUGAAAAGCCGAAGAAAGCUUGAUAUCCACCUUUAGUAUCUCAAAGAGAGAUCUCCAAAAUUUUGAUACAAACUGGGUUCGUCGAUCUGAUACGAUAUCAUCUGGUAUUCCAUGAUAUCGAUACACAUUAUCGAGAAAGAGCCUUGCUGUGACUUCACUGGACGAUGUCUUCUUGCAAGGGACAUAGUGCGCCAUCUUUGUAAGCCGAUCUACUACGACAAAGAUGCUGUCAAAUGAGUUCGAUGAUGGCAAGUCCGUGAUAAAGUCCAUGGAAAUUGAAGACCAUGAUCGACGUGGAAUCGGCAAUGGCUGUAGGAGUCCAUAAGGGCGAUGUCGAGGAUUCUUGGAUCUUGAACAGAUGUCGCAGGAGAGGAAAAAAUCUUUCACAUCCUUCCACAUUUGGGGCCACCAAAAAUCUCAAGAAAUAAGCUGCAAGGUCUUGUUGAAUCCAAAAUGUCCCAUAGCUGAAAAAUCAUGGCGAGAUUGAAGAACUCGGAGUCGUGCUGGUCCUAUUGGGAUAUAUAAUCGCUCUUCAAAGUAUAAAAGAUCUCCUUCCACCUUGAACUUGUCGUCAUUGGUACGCUGCUUAAUAUCAAUGGCUAUUAAAUCUUCAAUGGUCAUGGCACGUACCUGAUUUAGGAAGUCAGCAUCAAUUGGCACAAUAGUAGCGCAAAGCUAAAAUUGCUCUGGCUUCAACAAUGUCGUACAUUGUUGAUCAAAAAUGCUGCUUCUCCAACCUUUGGUAUAAGAUACGAUCUCCUCGAUAAGACAUCAGAUAGUCCUUACUGCUUUCCAGGUCGAUAAGUGAUAACAAAAUCAAACCUAGAUAGCAACAUAUUCCACCAAGCUUGACGUCGAUUUAGAACUCGAGCCGACAUGAAAUAUUCCAAAUUCUUGUGAUCUGUGUAUACGGUCAUUGGGUGUACAGCUCCUUCAAGAAAGUGAUGCCAUUCUUGGAAAGAAUCCACUGUAGCAAGAAGUUCCUUAUCGUGGAUCUCAUAAUUGAUUUCAGGAGCAGAGAACUUUCGAGAAUAGAAUGCAACCGGAUGGAGCUUCUUGUCUUCUCCCAUUUGUAAAAGUAUAGCUUCCAAAGCAAAAUCCGAAGCAUCAGUUUCUAAAUAAAAGGCCUUUGUAAAGUCUAGAUGUACCAAAAUUAGAGCCGUAGUAAAUGCGGUCUUCAGAUCUUGAAACGCCUUCUCCGCUAGAGGUCCCCAUUCCAGCUUAUCCUUGCAUGUCAACCAAAUGAGAGGAGCAGCAACUUGAGAGUAAUUCUUGAUGAAGAUCCGAUAGAAGUUGGCAAAACCAAGAAAGCAUUGUACGUCUCUAACUGUCUUCGAAACCUCCCAGGACACGAUUGCUUCCACCUUCUUGGGAUCCAUCUUCAAGCCUUCCGUAGUCGCAACGAACCCCAAAAACUCCAUCUUUAUUUAGUGAAAUAAACACUUCUCCAACUUGGCAUAUAGUCCUCGCUUGCAUAGUUUCUCCAAGACCAAACGAACGUGCUUUUCAUGCUCUUCCUCAUUUUUGGAGAAUAUCAAAAUAUCAUCCAAAUAGAUGACAACAAAAUCGUCAAGGUGCUCUCGGAAAAUAUCAUUCAUCAUAUGUUGAAAGACCGUUGGAGCAUUGGUAAGACCAAAGGGCAUGACAUUAUACUCAAAAUGGCCAUACCUUGUACGGAACGCUGUCUUCCACUCAUCUCCUUCCUUGAUUCGUACAAGGUUGUAAGCUCUUCUUAGAUCAAUUUUUGUAAAGAUCCUUGCAUGUCCAAGUUGUUCUAAGAGACUAGAAAUCAAGGGUAAUGGGUAACGAUUCUUCUUUGUUACGUUGUUGAGGCCUCGAUAGUCCACGCACAUCCGCAAUGAGCCAUCUUUCUUCUUCACAAAUAAGAUGGGUGCUCCAGCUAAUGAUUUUGAAUGACAGAUGAAGUUCUUGGCUAGAUUCUCGUCGAUGUACUUUUGCAACUCCGCCAACUCCGUCUGCGAUAGAUUGUAGAUUGGGCCAAAAGGCGAUUGUGCUCCUUCCUGCAAGUCUAUGGCACAAUCAUAUGGUCUGUGUUCCAGUAGCAUGUCCGCAUUCUUCUUUUGAAACACGUCUUUAAAAUCCUUAUAUUGCUCAGAUAUACUUGUUGUCGAGAUCUUCUCCCCAGUAGUUAGAGCCGCAUAAAUGACAAACGGUGUGCCUUCCUUAGACGAUCUUAUAAACGCUCUUGCUCCAAUGAAUAAGGAUUUCUCUAUUUGGGGUUUUCUACUAGGCUUGCUCUUGGGUAGUUUUGUAGAAAAGGUCAUCUUGCGCAACUUCCAAUCUAUAGAUGGGUUAUGCUUUUCCAACCAGGAAAGAUCAAGAAUAACAGGAUUUGAUGGGGUUCUAAUAAUAUUGAACAUAAUAUGACUACUAUGGCCCUUAAACGUCACUUCUAUAGAUUCUAAUUCAUAGGUGACACUACCAGACAAUAAAGGUCGCCCAUCUAUGACCUCAACGUGAACAGGUUUGGAUUUUUGUACUAAAGAAAUCUUAUGAUGCUUCACAAAUUCUUUGUCUAAGAAACAAGCAGAUGCUCCUGAAUCUAAUAAUGCUAAGGUUCUCAGUUUCUAAGGGCCAAUAAACAAAGGGAUUGUAAAGCAAAAGGCAGGUUAAGCGGUGUCGGGGUAGAGAGGCUUUGCCUCAGAAAGCGUUGGGCUUCUGGCUUUCACUAGUUGCUCAUUCAAGCUUAAAAUAAGGAAACCCUAAUUUUAUAUAUAUAAGUUCUCUUUUUGGGACAAUAACACUAAAUACUUAAGUCUUAAAUAACCAACAACACCCAAAAUAUGGUAGAAGUACUCUAAAACCUUGUAAAUCCUUGUGUGGAAAUUCUCUCGAACCUCAACACCUCAUAACUCUUGAUCCAACCGUCGAAACAUUAUCAAAAUUUACAUAAAGUACUGAUAUGUUGUUAUUAAUUUGUACAACAAAUUUCAACCGCAAAUUCGUCGCGGAUCUUGAGAUAUCUUCAAAACCGUAAUAGUCGCUUCAAACCCUAAUCUUUAUAUACCCACGCGCAAUUUUCUUCAUAUCUCACAAACCAUAAGUCCAAAUGCCACGAAACUUGUAUAGAUAGCUUUUUAACACAAAUUUUUACAUUCUUCCAAAGUUUGAGCCAAAAUUGUAUUCGAAAACUCAAGUUAUGGCUCCUAACACUACUUUGAACAAAAUCGCUCACUUACUGCCUUUGAUUUGAAUGCGCUGUCUUUAACUCCCUAUAAGUCCUUCAUAUAAACUCCAAAUGCAAAAUUUCCUUCAAAAAAGAUGUAUGUCUUGAAGUUGCCCUUUCAGCCGCACCUUCCGAUCUCCAAAAGCUUCCAUAAGACUCCUCUUAAACUCAAAAGAGUAACAGUAGGUCUCAAAUUGACACCUUAACUUCAAACGGCUAUAACUUAUUCACCCUAACUCCAAACCCUAUAAAAUUUGCACAAAAAUUGUAGCCAAAACCCUAAAAUUUACAACCCUUGCCUUUGAUUUCCUAAUGGCCUCUUUGAAGUCGCCGAAACCCUUAUCAAGGUCGCGGGCAGCCUCCUAAAAGCCCAUUGGGCAUGGAUUUCGACCAAUGGGGAUGAAGAUCCUUAUUUCUACCUUCAUCCAACCAUGCCUUGGUUUCAUUCCUUCCAAUUAACCUCCUAUUAGUUUAAAUCUUCAUCUUUAGGCUCCUAUCUCCUCUCAAGGCUUCAUACUUAACAUUAAGGUUCUAUAACUUUUAUAUACUAUAAUCAAACUAAGUAAGGAAAACAAAAUAAAGUUUUUUUUUUACCAACUCUUUUUAAUUUAAUCUAUUAAUGACUUUAACACACAUUUAGAUUUAUUAACAUAUAAUAUGUUUUAACUAAUUUUUACAUACUGUAAGCAUUUACAGUACGACAGCGGAAAGAAAAGAACCUGGUUGUUAUUGCAAUAUUUCACUGUCCAGCCACACGGUUCCUACUGUGGCUGGGCAUCCUCGUUUUCCUGAAAAAACGUGCCCCUAGUCGUGACAAUACGUCAAUUUUGCUUCUUGGGGCAGUUUCCAACUUUGUGGCCUUCUUCACUGUAAUACAAGCAUAGACCUUCCUCCAUAUGCCGCUUUUUUUCUUCUAUGGUAAGGAAUUUGACACGUGCCGCAUCAAUUUGCAUGUCUUCUACCUCUGAAUGUGAAUUCACGGUGCUUGCCGACAUAAUUGGGGCGUGGCAAACCGUAUGUUGUCUUAAACGUUGGUCUUGGUGGCGUUGAAAUAGGCGGUUAUGGCAUUUCAGAGCUUGGCUAAUAGCUUUGUUGAGCGUUUGUGGAUUAGAAAGAGUUAACAACAAAUCUUUUACAUCAUCUCUCAAACCCUAAUAGAAUUGACUCAUCAACACUUCUUCGUCCCAAUUGAUGUCAUAUGCUAAUUGCUUGAAGUCCGAUGCAUAGACUGAUGUAGAGCGCAUCCCUUGUUGUAGUGACUGGAUCUUUGUUGUAACCCAUCGAACCUUGUUGUGUUCACCAAAUGCUUCUCCAAAUGCAUCCAAAAAGGUUUCAAAGUUGUUUAGUAUGGACGAUCGUUUCUCAAACCAAGGAGCAAACCAUGUUUGAGCUUGCCCUGUAAAUAAGGUUCCAACAAGCCCAAUACAUGACUCCUCCGUUGGAUAGCGUUUGGGCUGUAAAACUGUUAUCAACUUGAUUUGAUUGACGAAUCCUCAAAAUUUAGAACGCAUACCAUCAAACUUGUCCGGAAGGCUAACUCGGGGCUCCUUAUGUUGUAGAACCAGUGGUACUUGUCGAACCUGAGGCAAAGUUGCUUCUCCAAGUGCAGAAGUUUGAGGUUGGUGGAACCUAGAUUGUACCAUCCCAAAUGCUCCAUCAUUAUGAAGCCAUGCCACGACUCCUUCAAUCUCUAUAGUUCUUUGCGAUAACGUAGCGAGGGCAUUCAUGAUAGCAUCUAACUUGGACUCCGAACUUUCCAUCAUAUUAAUGUCUUGGCCUCCGGCCAUUCUAAGAGAAGGACAAAAAUGACUCUACAAGAAGACAAUAUUGGUUUAGAGGAGGGUACUCCACAACUUCUAAAAUGCCUUAAGAGCUUCAAGAAAAGGGGCAAUCCACUCUCUCCAAGAAGAAUAAGACUCCAAUAUUGUAACAAAAAAAGUAUCAAUUUAGAGAAGGGUAAUUUGCAACCUCUAAAAUGCUAGUAUACUUCCAAGCAGAGGGGUAAUCCACACUCUAACGAGGAAGAAACUAACUCUGAUAUCUGAGGUGAGUGAAGUCUCGACAAACUGUCACAGACGCAGAAAUACAGACUCGAGAUCUAACAAGAAGUUCAAGAAGAACUGGCAAGAACUAGAUUAAUCACAUGAAUACAAGAACAACACCAAAGAGGUGACUUAGAAGUCCAAGAGAUGUGUUGUCGAGACUAAAGAACUCUUCAACCUCGAUUCCAAUAUAUACUCAUGUUUAAGAAGCUUCUAAAGCAACUUCUACCAACUAGGAAGCUUCUAGAAGGUUCCAGAGACUUGCUUCUAGAAGAUUCUAGAAACUUAUCUCUAGAAGGUUCUAAGGACUAUGUCCCUAACAUCUUCUACCAACUAAGAAGCUUCUAGAAGGUUUCAGAGACUUGCUUCUAGAAAGUUCUAGAAACUUGUCUCUAGAAGGUUCUAAGGACUAUGUCUUUAACACAAACUAAUUAGUAAAAGAAGAGAUUCAUAGUUAGAAUUUUUUGUGAGAAUUAAAGAAUAAAGUUGCUUAACAUCUAGAAAAUUCUUUGAUUAUUUUUUUCAAUGAAAUUUCUAAGACAAUUAAGGGUUUUAAGAAUUAUUUUUGAAAUUUCUUAUUUUUAAUUUUAGAUUUAAAAAAACUUUCCAUAAUCAAAUAUUCAAUGCAUUUAUAAGCAAUAAUUUAUAUAAUACAACAACUUUUAUGGUUUUUAUAAAGCUUCUACAAGACUAUUGUUGUAGCUACUUGUCAUGGAUAUACAUAUUUAUUCCAAUAAUUACCUAUGUAAUUAAAUAGAAGUAGAUAAAAGUAGAUUAUUUUCAUAAUAUAUCUUAGAAAAGCUUCCUAGAAGCUUUAUAGAUACUGCUUUGAUUUUAUAAGUAUUUGUAGUUAAUUAAUAGGCUAGAGACUUGGCCAACAAGUUAGUCAUGUAAUACAUAUAUUAGUAGCUUGUAGAAUAAACUAACUAUGUGGCAUAUAUAUAAAUAACUUAAAUUGUAAGUUAACUCAUAUAUCUACUAAAGUCAACACAUUGUCAUGAUGUAAUAUGACUAAUAGGUGAAAGAGUGUAGAAAUUAUUAUAAUGUAGGAGAUCUUAGUUCAAAGUAUUAGAGAAAAUUAUCUUAGAAAUAUAGUUAAUAGUCAAAAGGGUAGUAAAACUAAAAAGUACUAAUGCUGCCUUUUUAGAAAGGUGACUUCUACUUACUUUGUAGGACCAUAAAUAAGGCAAAACAAAGUAGAUUGGAAAAAUAAAUAAUAUAAGCAUCUUUAGAAGGAAGUUAAGAAUAAAUUCUAUCAAAAUUUACUUAAAAAAACUAGAUAUUGAUACCCGGAGAGGGCCGGUUAUGAACUAGGGUCGAAAUCAGGCCCUGAUGCACAAAAUUGAGUCUCGAUGACAACUUUGGGAUUCUUUUGUAGAUUAGAGAGUAGAGUUUGAUAGCAAACUAGAUAGGGUUUCUAUGAGCAUUAGUUUUGGGCAAUUUGGAGUUAUUAUGUCUUUGUAAGAACUUUAUAAAGUCAAGAUUGUUUUUAGUUGACUUAGGUUUUGUGAAAUAAAAUAGGGUUGACAUUUUUAGUGAUUUCAAGAGUUUUGUAAUAGAUCUAUAAGUGAAAUUUUGUGGGUAUAAUGGUCAUAUUUGUGCUUAAUGUGUGUUGUAAAUCUUAGCUCAAUCUAACGACUGAAUUGAGGAUUAUUGAGGUUUAAAUGGGUCAAGAUCUUAGAAAGUAGAAUUUUAGGUCCACUGAGAGUUUUUAAGAUUUCUUUCAAUCUACUAGUUGGAUUGGCAAGAAAUUUAUGUGAGAGGAUAUUAGACUUGUUUUUCUAUGUGUAAGAGAAUUUUGAGAUCAAUCAAAUAGUGAAAAAGAGAGAUAUUGGCUCUGGGAGAUUGGCAUUAAGGUUGGAGAAUGAGGCCGGCCAAUAUCUAAGCACAUUUUUGAGGCUAUUUUCUAUUUAGUAAUUUUGAUUCUUUUUAAACUUUUUUUUGCUUGUUGUUGACUUAUUUGUUGAAAAGCACACAAAUUUUGAAUUAAGAUCAAUAGUUCAUUCAUUAGUAAUUGAAGUGUAAAUCUGUUGUAGAAAUUACUAGGAUUUGAUUUAGGAUUUAAGGUUUGGUUUAUGAUUUGGUUAGGGUUUGGUUAGGAUUUGAUUUAGGGUUAGGAUUUGAUUAAGAUUUGAUUUAGGAUUAGGAUUUGGUUACGGUUUGAUUUAGGAUUACGAUUUGGUUUAGGAUUUAAGAUUUGGUUAGGGCUUGAUUUAGGAUUAGGAUUUGGUUUAGGAUUUAGGAUUUGGUUAGGGUUUGAUUUAGGAUUAGGAUUUGGUUAGGAUUUGGAUAGGAUUUAGGAUUUGGUUUAGGGUUGGUUAGGAUUUGGAUAAGAUUUAGGAUUUGGUUUAGGGUUGGUUAAGAUUUUAUUUAGGAUUAGGAUUUGGUUUUGGGUUUAGGAUUUUAUUAGGGUUUGAUUUAGGAUUAAGAUUUGGUUAGGAUUUGAUUUAGGAUUUAGGAUUUGAUUUAAGAUUGGUUAGGAUUUACUUUAGGAUUUGAUUUAGGAUUUAGGAUUUUAUUUGAUUUUAUUUAGAGUUUAAGAUUUAGUUAGUUUUUGGCCUAAAGUUUGAAUGAAGUCCAAUAGGAUUUUAACUAGGAUUAAAUUAAGAUUGAAUUGAGAUGUAUUUGAGAUAUAUUUGUAAUCAUUUUAAUAUUUUCUUAAGAUUUUUUUAUUAUUUCUUUGUAAUUACUUUGAGGUUUCUUUGAAUUUGAUUAAAGCUUGCUUAGUGUUGUUAUGGUCUAAUUAGAGUUUAAUUAGAGUUUAAUUAGUAUUCUAUUAGAGUUAGGAUUUUGUUGUUGUAAUUUCUAUUCUACCUUCCACAGUCAAGUGCCUAGAGCAUUCUCAAGUAAGACUUCAUGUAUUACGACAGCGUGUUGGAGGUCUUAUAGAAU